UCAGAUCAAAUCUAAUUAAUCCACAUAAUCAUGUUAUAUUAUAUAAUCAUAAUCAGGAUCAAACAAGAUUUAAUAACUUUGAUUUGAAUAGGAAAUGGCCGAUGAUUACUACUACGAAAUUGGGCCGCCCUCCCAUAGCCGAUGAUACUUUGGAAGUGAGGGGGAGAAGGCAAGAAAAUCAUAAUUACCCGUAUGACUAAUAAUCUCAUUAAUCAUUUUGUUAGCAAGAUCGAGGAGGUAAAAAAUCAUAAUUAUAUCCUCCAAGUUGGUUUUUUUUUUCAAUUUGAUGGUAAAAAAUAUUUUCAUAUAAUUAAGGGUUGAUAAAUCAGCAUAUGGAUCUGAUGAUCCUCUCAACACUGCUAAGAAUCUCAGUAUGCAAGCAACAGAACAGCAGAUGGUUGUAAGAAAGAAAUACACAGUGAAUUUUAUUCCCUUUCAAGCAAAAUGAUUAGUUAAAAUUGGAAGAAAAUGGAGCUACUCUUCCUUGACAUAUCAGUUCAUAUCACAGCAGCAAAAAGAACCCAGAAAGGAAGUAUCAGCUGCAAGUCUGUAACACACAGCAGGCUCCAGUCUUCGGCCAAUGAUACUCAGUGUCCACAUGAGCAGGAACCUUGCCUCCAUGUCGCCACAAUAAUACAGACAGUUCCCAGCUGAAGAGUCAAAGGAGAAAAGAUAAAAUAAAAUAAAUAAAUGCACAGUACUGAAGGAGAAGGCACCACACACCACACAUAAUUAAAAGAAAUCUUGCUUACACUUAAAAUAAAUAUUUUUUUAAUUCAUCAUGUGUAAUUGGACUGAAUUCCAAGAAAUUUGUUGACAAGGAUCAAAUUAGAUGCUCAGUAAAUAUGAAGGACUAAUCAAAAGACAAGCCAGAUUCUAUUAGAAUUGUUCAAUAAUAAUCAGUUGCAGCAGCAAUCAGAAAAUAUUAUAAUUAUAGUCAACAAUUUUUUAGCAAUUAGUUUCUGUUUCAAAUUAUAAAUUAUACAAAAAUAUUAUUCUUAUUUCCAAUUAAUUGUAUAUGUUUAUAUGUUUCAAACACCUGAAUUUUAUUUUCAUCAUUAAAUUUAUUUUGAUUUAAGUGGCUAAAUUUAAUUUGUUAUAAUUAAGUGGCUAAAUUUAAAUUUAAAUUUGUUAGACCAGGUAGUUGCUUAUUUAUUAAGUUUAAGAGAAUAUUUUCAAGAUAGAAUUGAAUCAUUAGAUUAUUUUUCUAUUAAAGAAUGUUAAUCAAAACAUAAUUACUGCGAGAUGUCUUUUUGAGAUACAAAAUAUCUCAUAGUAAUAUAUUUUAUCCAUUAUAUUAAUUAAAAUUAAAAUAGAGUAAAUAAAAUAUAUAUUCAUUAAAAACACAAAAUCUUGCUCUGUACAAUUUUUUUCUUAACAAAGUCACAUUAAUCUAUCUCUGUCAUCCUGGAUAAAAUUUCACAAUUACACUCCAACUCGCCCAGUCAAUUCAAUCUCCUCUUAAAAUACUUCACAACUCACCGAGUCAAAACUCGCUCUCACCACCGAGUCAAUCAUCCUCUCUCUUAAACAUGAGUCUCCUUGCUAUCUCCUCACCCCUGACCCCAGCAAUUUAAGUACAUAACUCGUCGAAGAGAAUCAUCAUUUUGCCUCACUCCUCCUUCUAAUCCACAACUCCCAAAAACUCCACCACAAUCCGAUUCAACUGAACCAGCAAGUGGCCGGAUCUCCGUGGCAUCUCCUCGGGAGAACACCCUCAUCUUACCUUGUUGCAGUGAUUUUAAGUUGGAUUUCCACCCUUGAUCAGGGUGCCUAACUGCAGCCACGGUAGCUGCCACCCAAACUCUGUUCAAAUAACUCAUUUUCCAGGCCUUUCUGAUGUAUCGGCAGAAAAAAUUACGGUGGGAGGAAUUUUAAGUUUGCUUGAGUGCUUGGAGGGAGGGCUGGGUGUGUGGCUUUAUAGAGAGAAAAGUGCUUGUGGUUUUUGUAAAACAGGAAGUGGUUUUCUUUGAUAAAGUGGUUUGGGAUAGGAAUCAUUUAGUGGUGGGCCUGAGGAUCGAGGUUUGAUGUUUUGUACAGAAGUGAAGUUUUUAUCACGAGAAAUUGUGUAUUGAUGUCCUUGAAAUUUUCAAAUGUCUAAAAACUUUUGUAUUUUUUCUAUAUAUUUUAAUGAGAUUUUAUUUUGAAUGAGUAUAAUUAUUUUUUACGAUAAUAACUACACCAUUAUAUAUAAUUUCUUAAUCAAAUAUUUGAUAUUAUGAGUGUAGUUUAAAUAAAAGCUCAAAUAGUAUAAAACUAUAAUUUUUUUCUUGCAAGAUUACCUAUCAAGAUCUAAGAAAAACUCCCCAUGGAAAAAAUAUUGUUCAUAAUAAACUUUGUAAAAAAAAUUAAUGUUGGAUAAAUGUGUUUAUAAUUUUAAAUUUAAUGUUAAUUUUUAUAUUGUUUAACUUAUGAUAAGUAAAGGAAAUGAAUGUAUUAUAUUUGAUAAUUAAUAUAUUGUUGCUUUUAUUUUUUAUUUUUUUUAAUAAAGUGGAAGGGUUCGAUAAAAUGAUAGAAAAUGAUUCGCUGAAGCGUGGAGUUAUCACGAGAAGAAAUGACGAUAAAGUGUAUUUUGUAACAGGUAAAGGGAGCAACAGGUGUCGACCUUAUCUAAAACCCACGGUUCAUCUUUAUCUGACCAAUACCAGCUCAACACUCUUAUCAAGUGGGGUCCCGCAGGAAGUUAAGAUAAUUUGUCUUUUUCUUGACUUGCUAGACCACGUGAUGAGGGGACACGUGCUGUGACGAGAAUCGGACAUGGCUCUUUGUCUGAAUGGGUAGGCAGGGAUGUCACGUGCUGGAUGAUGAAUUAUUGUAGUUGUUGGAGACUUGUAGUGAUGGUAAAAGAUAGUGUUAGCAUGGAGGGAUGCUAGGGAAGCUUCCAAAGCGAUGCCAUUUGAUUGAACAUCGUGGUGUUUAUAAGGGGACAUCAGGUGAAUAGAUUUCUCAGUGGAUGAUUAAUGGAAUUUGGAUUUUUAAAAAAAUAUUUUUUUUUCAAAUUAAUUGCUAGGCAUGAUGGAAGGAUUCAAUUGAAGAAUGUUUAAUACUAUGAAAUCUAUUAAAAAAAAAUUAGUUCAAAGGAUCCAAUUGAAAAUGAUUGGCAAAUUGAGAACUAACUGGAGUUUUUUUUAGUAUGGAUCUUUGUUGAGUGUCCUUUUUUUACAAUUAUUAUACAUUAUAGUUAUUAAAAUUAUUCGGGUUACAAGCUUGUUGGAUUAAGUUUUUAUAAUGAAAAUGAUUUUAAUUUGGAUAUUUUAAAAAAAAUCAUUAAAAUUGACUUGAUUGGAUUUAAUAUGAUCAACUGUUAAUUAUUAAAUUAUUAGAUUAUUCCGUCAACUGAAUCAAAUUUAAUAAAUAUAUUACCGAAAUUAAAAAUCAUUUUCCUUUUCCUGUAGGCAUUUCUAUUGACAUUGCUUCAUGAGUUUCAUUAUAUAUUUUCAACAAAUAGUAAUGAAAAAGAAAGGAAGAUAACUUUGGUACCGUCCAAAUAUGUCUUGCAUAGAAGCAGCUAAAGGGGAAGUAAUUUUUUUUUUUUAAUUACUAGAGGAAGAAGGUAUCGCACAAGAGCAACAGCAAGCAGAGACAAGAAGGAAUCAUAGAGGAGAUAUGGAAAAGAAAUCAAUGGUGUGGUCUCUAUCAUAGAGGAGAUAAUAAGCAUAGUCAAAGUUUGUGGGCUAACCAUGUCCUAACUGCAUGGUGGGAGGAAAUCAUUAUCAAAACCAAUGUGACAUAUUGAUUUGUCAAGUUUAAAAGCAAUAUAAAUAAUUAAAAAAUAUAUAAUUUUAUAUUAAAAAAUCAAGAUAAAGUCUAAAAAAAAAAAUAGAGAAGAUAAUAUAUUAAAUCAAUCUAAGUUAAUAUGUAAAAGUUAUUAUAUGAAUUAUUAGAUCAUGAUAACUUUAUAAAAAUUAAAUCAAAAAAACAUAUUGAAACUUGAUUCUCAAUUAACUCAAUGUUGAAGGAGUGAAAUUAAAAAAAAAAUCAAUUAAAAACAGACAAAAAAACUCGAGUCCACCCGGAUUAACUUAUCAAAUCUAGAUUAUGAGACUUGGAUAAACUAAUAUAAAGUUAAUCAAAACAAAUUAUGAAACUCAAUUCCAAAUUAAUUCAAUGUUAUGAAGAAAUUGAAAAAAAUAAUCAAUUAAAAAAAAUCCUGAGUCAACCUAUCAAAUCUUUGACUCGUAUCAUGAGAUUAAGAUAGCCUUAUAUAAAACAAACGAAAACAAAUUAUAAAGUUUAAUUCUUAUUCAACCUAAAUAUUAAAGAAUAAAAGAAACAAUUACAAAAAAUAUAGAGAUUUUAAUAAACAAUACUUUAUAAGACAAAGAAGAAUGAUUUUCACUUAUCAAUUAGUUUCUGUUAAUAAUUUAAAGGUUUAAUUAUAGAAAUUUUAAAAUAAAAACAUACUUUUUCAACCAACCCAUUGAAAUUUAUGAAUCUACAUGGUGAUAUUUCAAUUAUCAAAGAGAGGUCCACCUAGCAACUUUAAUAAUGAGUUCAUAUAAAUUCAAGGAUAGAGAUCAUGGCUGCCCUUUAGAUGGCAAUUUACGGGGACAAGGAGAAUUGAUUUCAACUUUUUAGAUUAAAGUUCCACUUAACUUUGCAACCCACCUGGGAGAGACGCUAUCCCGUUCCCAUGGAGGGUCCCUAAAUACUCCAUUGUCUUGGAACCCCAUAACUGAUAUUUUAUAAGCUACAAACUACUUAUAAUAUGAUAUUUUAUAAGUCCCUAAAAGAAUUUGAGCAUUGGCAACGCGUUUUUUAGCUUUUAAGAAAAAUUUCAUUAUGAAUAAAAAAAAUUAAAACAUUCAUUUAAUCAAAUAAAUAAAUAUAAAAAGGAAAUAUUUACAUGAAUCAAAAACCAUUUAGAUUUUUUAUGAUAAUAAUAAUAAUAUUAAUAAUUCAUUCAUUCAUAAUCAUUUCUCCCUCGAUAGUGCUAAAGCUUUAUAUUGACAUCUACGUUUGGUGGCCAUAGCUAUCAAUCUAUCUAAACAAGAUCUUUCCCCAUUUCAAGUUCUUUAGAAGAUAAGAUCUUCCCCUUUAUUCUCAACACGAUUUUGCUUAUCAAACUAUGUUUCAUGUAAUUUCUUCUUUAAUUUAUUUGUUCGUGCUAGAAGAGGGCACCUUGGAUGUUAUUAAAGUAUUUAAGGGCAUUCAAAAACACAAAGAUGCAAGGCAUGAGGAGGAUUAGCACGAUAAAAGUGACUUCUUUUUUCCAGGAAGUGUCCAAAGCACAACACAUUCCAGGUUCCUGAUCACUGUCAUUAGCAGGAUAAUUUAAUUGCAGUGGACAAAACACAAAGCAAGAACCAAAUCCAGAUCUCAAUCUAAAUUCCACUAGUUCAUUACCUUAUCAGCAAAAGAAAAGGGUAUAUAUCUCCCUUUCUCAGGCAAAAUCUCCAACUAAGCUGCCAAAUUUGCCUCUAUCAGGCUGUCAAUCCAAUAAAUAAUACUAAUGAAGGACAGCUGCUCAAAGGUUGCUUUCAUGUGCAAAACAACAGCAGCAGCAAAGUUGAGCAUGUAUCCAUUGUCACUUCCAUGGACCAUCCAAAUAAUAAUGCAAUGUUAUGAUGCUUUACGUGACAGCAUUAUAAAUAAUUUACACGUGUACUAAUGAUUAUAAAAAUGAUUAUAAAGCUCAAAUAUCCUAAGAAACAAAAAGUAAACAAGUAGGGUAAGUGACGGAUACUGAGAAGAUAUAAUCUUGUUUUGGUUGAGAGAUAGAUACAGAAGCUUAAAAUAAAGGAAACCUCAGCUCAAGAAAAAACAAGUGCUUGCAAGGAAACAGGAUCUUCACACAGAAUCAACUUCAACCUGCUGGCGUGCCAGGUAUCUUUCCCUCCGCUCUUUCUGAAAUGCAUAUCAGAGAAGCAAAGUCAGGAAAAUUUAUAGGCCACAAUGUUAUAAAGGAGAAAUAAAUGGCACACCAAAUGUUCAAGACCUCACCCACUCAUCUAUAACAAGUCCUUCGCCAACAACUCUGGGGCCUGCAUCUUCUGGAGGCUUCUUGCGUGCUUCGAGCUCAGCUUCAGCCUCAGCCAGUUGUCUUUUAAGCUUUUCCAGUGCCUUGAAGGAAACAAAACAGAAUUUCCUCGAAGAUUCAGAAGGCUUGUUUUUGGUCUUUAUAUUUUCCUUUUAAAUUCAGGCAGAGAACAUAUUAGAGAUGUAUCUGUUUUACUUACAGGACUAGGGCAUUCUGGAUCAAGAAAAACAACUCGUAAAAUUUGCUCAACUGCUACUUGAUCCUUCUGCUCAUCAAACUGCAUAAAAAUGUAUAAACAUAGCUUGUUCAGCAUUUUUAUAGAUCAAUGCCAUUGUUUUGUAAUAGAACACAACAUCAGAAGCAUUCUUCCUGGCAUACAGACCAAAAAUAAGCUUACACAUUGAGACAACAAAAUUAGAUCUUCAGCCCUACAUGUUUCAUAAAACUAGCGUAUGCCAAUCAUAGAGAGAGCUCACAAUUCUGAUAGAUGAUUCAGAUGAAGGAAAACUGAAGCAAAAUGAAAAUGCAGUCAAGAAAUCCUGAAAUUCAUUUAUUGACAAGCAUUUCAACUAGUGUUGAAGAUUCACAAAUCACAGAGUUGGAAGUCGGAACAAAGAAGGCUAGCCUAUCAAAAGUACAUAUUGAACGACUGAUGCAUCCACUUCUUAUUUUCUACCUACAAUGCUGUUUUUUUGCCAGAGUUCUCUUUUAAGAAAUUCUUACAACUAAUCUAUCACCCUUAGUAAUGAUGCUUAUGACCAUGUUGAAAACCAAUAGUUUUAUCAACAAAACAAAGGAAGAUGUUCAUCAAAUCAUGUUGACAGGAGCUUAAUGUAGAAUCAAUAAUAAAAAUCAGAUGAAAGGUGCAGACAAUAUACCAUCUCAGGAACAUAUUCCAUUUCUCCUUUCACUUUCAAGCUCAUGAUCUUGAACUUUACCCUGCUCUUCUGAUCCAGUAGUCUCUCAUUGUUCUCUGGAGGCUCCACAAACUUGAAUACUGUUGGCAAGUAAUGAUUCAGAAUGAUAAUUCCCUAAAAUCAAAAUGUAUACAGCGCACAUGGUCCCUGAUCAUUUAAUUGGGCACAAUGAACAAGAUAGGUGGUGGAGGAGCAUUGAUUACCAGUUGCAAUAAGACUUUCACCAGGUGCAAGUAUAGCCCCGGGAGGACGCAUGUAACAGCUCUUUGGUGCAGUUGUUUGGAACUACAACAGCCAUCAUAUCACCAAUAAUUCCCAAAAAAAUGAUAAACAUAAAAAGCAUUGAUAAAAAAAAAAAGUUGACAGAUUAGUCAUACCUUGAAAGCUACAUGAGACUUGCUAGUGUUUUUUAUGCCAAUGGCACUCCUAACCUGUUUUCCUGGUUCAUCUUCAAUACAAUAAGAUUGAAACAAAUUAAGUACCAAGCAAACACAAAUCCAGUUCGUUGCAAAAUUUACAGUAAUGGAAACACACAUAAAGUAACCCCAGAAAUAGCAAGAUCAAUCAAGAAAAACUAGUCCAUCUGUAUAAUGAUAGCUUCAAAUGUGAAAGCCAAUAAUAAUAAUAAAUAAAUAAAAGAUUUCUCAGCUCCAAGUACAUUAAUCAAGAAAAGUUGGAUGAUUAGCUUUUUGAUAUACAAUGAGCAAACCCAAUAAGGUUUCUUAAACUUGUUUGAUUUUGACCACUAAAGAACAAUCAAUCUGUUUUCAUAAGGACUAGACAUUAUCAUCCUCAAAAAGUUCAUUUCCCUUCAAUAAAUUAACCCCCCCUCCUCAGAUCAUCACAAACAACAAAUGAAUCUAUUAAUCACAGUUCAUAUCAAGUAAAACAUGCAGACGACAAUCUAAGCUGUGUAAUCUAUAACAUCGACAAGUCAGAAUAUCUUUGCUUGAAAUAAAAACAAAGAAACCCAGAUCACACAAACUAAAGAAAAAAAAGUAAAAAAGAGUCCAAGUUGUGCAUACAGAACAAAAACCAAAAGAAUAUAGACAACAAAAAGAACCCGAAACCUUAGUACUUACAAGGGAAGAAGAGCUUGUUAGGAGGAUCAAGCCUGAGUCUUCUUCUAGUAGGCAACAAAGACUUGGUAACAAAAGACAUUGCAUUUGUUGAAUAAUAAAGACUUGAUCUUGCCUCUCCAAGCUGGUUACUUUGGUUCUGCUGACAACCAUUGUUGCCAUUACUGUUAUUACUGCUCAUGGAACUUGAAGAUGUUGAAGAAGAAGAAGUGGUGGUGUUAGUUGAAGAAGAAGUGGCAUUGCCAUUGCCAGUGCCAGUGCCAGUGCUUGUUUGCCAAAAAGGCAUUUUGCAAAGACUAAACUUUCAUUUCACUCUCUGCUUAAAAGAUGGAAAAUUUGAGUAGUUAUUUUUUUGGGGGGGUUUUGUACUUUAGUUAUAUUUUCUAUUUUUACUAUAAUAAUAAUAAUAAUAAUAAUAAUAAUAAUAAUGGAUUGUUAGUUGUCACAAUCAUUAAACUUGAUCUCGCAGGUCUACUUGGAGUGUGUUUAGCUUAUGUUUGGAAUUUUGUUUCGGUGUAUCUGAUUUAAAAACAUAUUAAAUUAAUAUUUUUAGAAAGUUUUAAUGUAUUAAUAUUAAAAAUAAAAAAAUAUUUUAAUAUAUUUUUAAAUAAAAAAUACUCUUAAAAAACAUUUUAUACCACAAUAUUAUACACACACUUAGACUCGAUCAACCUGUCAUAAGGUAUAAUUUGGUUUGAUUAAGUUAGCAGAUCAAAACUUAAUUAAAUUUAUCUGGGGAUAGAUUUAGUAAUUAUUUUUUAAAAUAAUUUUUAUUUGAAAAUAUAUUAAAAUAAAUCAACAUAUCAAAAUAAUUUAAAAAUAAAAAUCAAAGUAAAAAGUUUUUUAAGAGUUUUUAUAACAGUAUUUUUAAUGCAAUAACAAACACGUUCUAAUCUGGUUUUUUUUUUCACAUGCUUCCAUCUUUUUGGUUUUUAGAAUCUACCCAGUCCAUAUAUCCUAUUAAUUUACAGUAUAUUUUUCAGGAAAUUUAUAUUAGACUUGGGGAAUCUUUAUAAAAAUUAUUUUAGAAUCAAACUCUAAAAAUACAUUGAGUGAAAUUAUAUAUAACGAUGCACACCAAAGAAAAUUUUAUUGUCUCAAUGAAAAAUUAAAAAAUUUACUUUUGCUUGAAAUGAGCCUUGGAUGUCACUUUUGCUUUCAAAUGGAGACUCUCUUUAAUUUUAUUACUUUAAGAAAUAUAACUCGUUUAGCAUUACAGUCUAAUUGUUUUUUUAAAAAAAAAUUAUUAUUUUUUAGUUUCAAAUUAUUAUUUUUAUAUACAAGUAUCAAAAAUUAAUUUUAAAAAAUAAAAAUAACUAUUUUAAUACAUUUCUAUAAAAAAUUAUUUUAAAAAACAACAUAACACUUACUUUUUAUUUAUAUAUAUGCUUUAUCUUAAAAAGAAUGGAUAAUAGACUUUAGACCCGAAGAAAGCAUCUAAAACAUCAUGAUUUGCUAUGAUGUUGGAAACAUGAUCUUGUGGAAACGUUAAAAUAACAACACGGGAACACACACACUGAUGCUCCCAUGUGGCCCUCUUGCAAGAAAAGCAUCUCUCUUCCAUGAUUUCAUUUCGGUGAUUCAUUCAAAAUAUUUUGCGGGCAAUGAUUUAACCCAACCAGACGCAUAUGGCACUAGAUGGCCUGCUGGGUUCUAGUCACACAACCUUUGUAGAAAGUGACUUUACUCUUACAAAUCUUUUGACAUGGUCAAUGAAGGAUGGAUUCCCUUGGAUCUUGCCAUUGGACUAAUCAUCAUAGUUAAAGAUGUGAUAGGAUAACAAUCAACAAGGAAGCAAUGGCGAGUGGAAAAGGAAAUUUAAGAUAAGGAUUAGGGUCAUGAUCACUUGUAGGUGAGAGGCGAUCCCUAAGAACACCAAAGAUGCUGUUCUUAGGGAUUCUUCAGAUUGAUUUAGCCUUUUCUCUUUACUUCUAUAUAUUUUUGAAGCUGUAGUUGCUUGUGGAGGUGGUGAUCCUGCUGCUGCUGCACUUCCCACUUGAGUAGGCUUUGAGGAGGAUCCCGUGUUGUUAAUGACAUGUUGAUGGUGCAAGGAUUUCAUGGCAGGAUUUAGCCUUCACUUAUUUUUAUCUCUCAACUCCUCCACAGCUGCCCAAACCUUGCUCUUCCACCUCAUUGUACUAAAAGAAAAUGGACCAGUUAAGAAUCAUGCAAGACUCAAUACAGCUGAAAUUCCAUGCCUGUUGUUUUAGCGAAAUUGAGAGUAAUUUAUUUGUGUUACAUCUAGUGUUCCAUGCAAGAUUAGGUUAGCCAGAUCCCGAAUUGAUCCAUCAGUCGUAAUUAAAACUAGAAAAAGUUCCUUGCAAAUUAACUUUUUUUUAAAUUAUCCAGGAGCAUUUCUAGGAGAUUAGCCAAAGCAUCCUCCCGUGAUUCAUGUGGUGAUGUUUGAAUGAGAUUUAUAUUCAAAAUUUAUGUGAAAAAUUACAUUAAGUAAUUUUAUGAAUUCAAAAUUUAUGAAGCAUAAAUAAUUGUAAAAAAAACAAAUACUCUAUUUGAUGUACAAUAAUUUUAUAUUUUUGUGAAGUUUAAUUUGUACCAUAACAAUUUAAUUUUAAAUUCAAAGGAAAAAAAAACUUCAUUUCAUUUUCUUUAAUUUUAAUGUUUUUUCUCCUAAGCGGAUCCUCUUUAAGAAAAUUUAAUAAUACCUUUCCUAUGUGCUAUAUAUAUUACUUUCUGAAUUCAGGGCGCCGCUAAUUUAUUUUUUAUUUUAAUUUCAGAUAUCCUAUUUAAAAUAGCUGAUCAUGACUUUCAGCACAAAAGGAUAUCAUUUUCUUCUUGGAGAAAACACAAGAGGAUAUUAUUGAUAUUUAUAAUAUUAUUAAAUGUUAAUAAAAUACUAUAAGUUAUAAUUUAUCAUAUAAAAGGAAUCGUCUAUAAUUUAUUUUCAAUUUCAAAUUAAUAUAGGUUGUGAAAAAUAAAAUUUAAGUAACUUUUUUUAUCAAUACAUGAAUAGCAGUUUAUAAUCAGAUUAAAGAUUUAUAUAAUUUAAUAAACAAAAAAUGACAGAUUAAUUUACAAUUGAUGGUCCUGGAGUAGAAUCUGAUCAUGGCUGAUCAAAAUCUUUGAUGGGAACUCUACAAACAGUUUGAUCUUUGUCAUCUAUAACCACAACAACCUCAGUAGGGACCCCAACAACUUAAGUACAUGACGGUCCUUAGUGACUCCUCUGAUUGCUUUGCCUUCUGAUUUUCUCUUACUUUACUUGAAACCACGUUAGAAGUCGGAGAAGACAGCUUCUUGGCCUUAGACAUUGACCUAACUUUGUUCUUGGCAUGAUGGUGUAAUAAUCUAAUUGUGUAGUUCCAUCUGCAAAACCCUUGAUCUUUCAUUGCCUCCACAGCUGCAAUACCAAAGGCUACCAUCCAAGCUUUGCUUGUUGAACUCAUUUUUUUUCUAUUUUCUUCUCUGUACUAGAACAGAAGGAUGGAGGCUCUUUUAGUUCAGGAAGACGAGGUAUAAUCUAUCGAGCUUUUGUGCUUGAUGGUGAAAAUGGUAAGCAGGGGUUUGCUUAUAUAGACAGUACAGAAGGGGCCAGAAGCUUUGGGAGAAAACUAGAGCCUACAAGAUCAGGAUGUUAGCUGCUGGUUUAGGCAAAGUGGAAGCCAAAGAGAUGUUUUCUUGUGUUUUUUAUUAGUGGGGUCGUGUUAGGAUAAGAUUUUCAUUAAUGUCAAAAACUACAAGUCGGAGCUAGAAAAUGGUAUCUCAAGCACACUUUUUUUUAAAUCAUGAAAAGGCUAGCGUGUGAGUUGUUGCUGAUGAGCACCACACGGUUUUCCUAUGUAAAAAUCCCAUUAUUUUCUUUGAAUAGUCGAUUACCAUGCGUUCAUUGCAUGUGUCACCAGAACCAAGGUCUCAACUCUCAACAAUGGGGGCAGAUUUUACUACAUUUAUUGUUUGAUUAUGGAACAGUUUUUUUAAAAUGUUUUUUAUUUAAAAAUAUAUUAAAAUAAUAUUUUUUUAAAAAAAAAUUAAUAUCAACAUAUUAAAACAAUUUAAAAAUAUAAAAUUUUAAUUUGAAGUAAAGAAAAAAUAAAACUUUUUAAUUUUUUAAAUACUUUUAAAACACAAAAACAAAAAGAUUUUUAUUGGUUAGAAAAUAGCAAUUUACCCUUUUAUUUUUGUUUCUAUCUAAAUUACUCCAAACUUUAUUGAUAUUGAUUUUGAAUUCAUUCUAUGGAAUUUGGUAAGUGUUAAAAGUUAAUAUUAAAUUAUUUUUAAGAGUUUGAUUAUAAAUUUAAUUUUUUAAUAUAUAUAUAUAUAUAUAUAUAUUAGAAUAUUUUUAAUUAAAUAGUGAAAAUUUAAAUCUCUCAAGAAAAUUGGUCGGAAUAAGUUUCAAGUCCAAAUUCUUUAUUUUAAAUUAAUAAUUUAUCACAAUUUUUAUUUAAGAUUUUUUAUUUUUUUUUAACUGUCUUCUUGUUAAAUUUCAUUGAUAACCCCAAACGUUUAAAUUUAAUAAUUUACUGAACUGCAACUCUAAUGGUGAAUAUUGAAAGGAAAUAAAGUUAUGAGUAGUCUGUUGAUGUGAGAUUUGCGUUGGAAAAAAAUGAGUUUAGAUGGCUUGAAAACGCAAAAAGACGUUGAUGAUCAAAAUACACAAGUUAAAUUUUGGCGAAAACCUAUCAAGUUCUCUAUGUAAUUUAUUUUUCAAAAAAAUCACAUUAUCACCAUAACAAAAAUAGAUUUUAAUAGAAUUUAUCAAAAAAGAGCCUUAUUAAAUAAAUGUUAUGAUAGAAUAUAUAUAUUCCACUGUAUGAUAUCAUGAUUUCCUCCAUCAUUGUAAACCUUUCAAAGCUCUUCCAUUAUAUAUAGGUUCAAAAUUUACAAUUUUUAUAUGAACUGGCAGCGUUAAAAACAUUUUCCCCCAUCAUUAGCAAUUUAUUCAACAACAAUCGAUUGAAAUACAAUUGCUGCUGAUGAUAAAUUAAGCUGGUCGAGAUAAUCAUAAUCGUUGAUGGGUUCCAGACCCAGAAGCAGUUGGCCUUGUGAUCUCUGUUCAGACAAGUGUCCCUUGGAGCUCUUUGGUUGCCUCUUUGUGGUCACCAAUCCAUGAAUAUAGUUCCUCUGCUAGUAGUUCAGUAAUCAACUAGUAAGGACCCCAACAACUUAAGUACAUGACUUUCCUCAGUGACUCCUCUGAUUGCUUUGCUUUCUGAUUUUCUCUUACUUUACGAGAAAUCACAGUAGAAGCUGGAGAAGAGAGCUUCUUGGUCUGAGAGAUUGACUUCACUUGGUUCUUGGCAUGAUGGUGUAGUGAUCUUAUUGUGUAGUUCCAUCUACAGAACCCUUGAUCUUUCAAGGCCUCCACAGCUGCCAUACUAGCGGCUACAGCCCAAGCUCUGCUUGCCGAACUCAUUUUUCUACUUUCUUUCUUUGUUUGUACUAGUAGAACAACAACAAAAAUGGAGAAAUUUUUAGUUGAAAAAGAUGAGAAGUAAUUGAGAAUUCGUGUUUGAUGGUUCAAAUGGUAUACUGGGAUUUGCUUAUAUAGAGUCUAAGGGGCCGUAAGCUUGAAGGAAACCAGAAACUAGGUACAGGCUGCAGCUGGUGGUUUUGGCUUGAGAAAGCCAAUGGUAUUAUUUUAAGGACCCCUCACUUGAUGGCAUAAAUCACUAAGCAGACAGUGACAAUAAAUAAAUAAAUAAAUAAAAAUUGGGAGUUUUUAAUACAUUUUAGCAUGUUCGAUCAUGACAAAGCAUGGAUGUGACUUGUACUAGGAGGAUGUUUUGCGUUGAAUUGUAGUUUUGUAGAUUUUUAAAUUUUUGAAAUUAUUAUGUUAAUAUUAAAAAUAAAUUUCAAUAAAUAUAAAGAUAUUAUUUUAAUAUAUUUUUAAAUAAAAAAUUUUAAAAACAACCUCACCACUAAUGGCCACUCAAUUUUGCUUUAUAAAAAUCCAAAUUGAGCCUAACUAUUGGAGGCAAAUCCAUGUUCAAGAGCGAGGCUAGAAGGAUAGAAUUUUAACUUCUUUCUAGGUGUCUACUCAAAACCAGAAAAAGGACACGAGGGCAUCCUCAAGAUUUUAAUAUAAAGGUAGAUGCUGUGUAUAUAGGUAUUUAACCUUACUCGGGGUGUACGCGGCUAACAAAUGAGAUUUUUAUUUUUUUCAGUCAAUUUAGGUUGAUUUAUAUUAAAUAAAAAAAAAUAAAAAAAUAGGAUAAGUAUACAUAUAAACUAUAUAAAUAUAUAAAAAAAAAAUUUCUUAACUUUUUGAUGUGGUAUGACUAUCACAUGAAAAUGUUAAAAAACAUUUCUUGUAUUUUAUGACUAUAUAUAUAGAACAUUUCAUAUAGAUGUAAAUUUUAUAUAUAAACAUUUCAUGUUUUUAUGAUUAUAUAUAUAGCUAUCACACGUAGAAAAGUUAAUGAACAUUUCAUAUAAAUAUAAACUUUAUGUAUAACUAGUUAUCGUGCAUGGAAAUAUUAAGAAACAAUUAAUGGGAUUUAGGUUAUAAAUAUAGCUCUUUCAUAUGAAAAAGUUAAAAAUAUUUUAUGAGGAUGUAAGUUAUAGAAAAAAAAUAUAUAAGACCAAGUAAUCACAAAUUAACUUUAUAUUUUUUGGGUUUUAUUUAAAAAAAAUGUAAAAAAAGAGAGCUCGGGUCUCACCCGGGUUAAGCCAGGUUACCUUAGUUUUGAGUUGAUCCGGCGGAUCACUUGGGUUUUACCAGGCUAAUUACAAGCUCGGGUUUAUAUCAUUUAAAACCCCGCUAAGGCCCUGGAUAGCCGGGUCCUAGGUCAACCUGUCAGGUCAGGUUUUAUAUCUAUGGCUAUGUCCUGAAAAUGAAAAGGAAGAAGAAAAAAGAAAAAAAAAAGAUGAAUACAUUUGAGUGCUUUAUCUAUUGGAUAUUAUCAAAUUAAGUCUUACCAUAGAAAGUUUCUUUUAAAAUUAUAACCAAGAACUUAUUUGUUUUAAGAAAUGUCAUUUUAAGCAUAAAUUUUAAUGGUGUGAAUUGAUCGGGUUAUAUUUGAUAAAGAGUUCCAAUUGAGAAAUUUUUAUCAAAUUAGUCAUUAUUAAAAUGGUGAAGGGUAAAUUAGUUUUUUAUAUAUAUUUUUUGCUCAAUAAAAUAACUAGAGAGCCCUUAAAGAAAAAAAAUUAUUGAGUUGGCGUCAAGGACUUAUAAUAUGUCUUUUUACUUUUUUAGACAUAGUAAAAUGAAUAAUAAACCCUUACAAGCAAAAAUUCUUUAACUAAUGCCAAUGAGCUUUUAUGUGUUUUUAUCCUUUUUUUUUUUUGUUAUAAUCAAUUUAAAUUAUGAUAGAUUUGAUCUUUUAAAAUAUAUAAACAUUUUUAAAAAAAUUGGUGAUGCAUGCAUUACACGCGUCAACGCAUAGAUCGUUCUCGUGUUGUGUUGGGUUAUGCAUGCUGCAGUGUUUGGCGGUUAAAUGGUGACUUCUAAGGGUAGCAGUCAAAUCAUCUCUACAGCCCCUCCAUCCCUGGGCAGUGCAUGUAACCAAUGAACUUUUGAUUUGACGCCAAUGAUCCUUUUUUUUCUUUCUCUCCUCCUCGAUUUCACAUUGACCCUUUAAGUUUUCAAAUCAACUCCUUAAUUUAUUUUUCUUUCAUAUUUAGUUCGUGUUCUUUUGAUUACUAUUUAUUUUAUUUAAAAUAAUUUAUAUAAUUGAAAUUUGUUUUUCAAUUGCAUUCUCUUUUAAUUUUUUUCAUAGGUUAGAUUUGGUCUUAUUAUUUAGAUUGCUAUUUGUUUUAUUUAAAAUGAUCUGUAAAAUUGAUUUUUUUUACUAUUUUAUCCCCAUGUUAUUUUUUCAUGUUAGAUUUGAUCCUUAUUUUUUAUUGCUAUUUUUUCUACUUUGACAAAUUUUCUAAAUUGAUAUUUUUUUUAUUUCAUCUUUCAACAUUAAAUUGGUUGGAAAUUAAGUUUCUAUAUUGACCUUGAGUUUAGGAUUUUAUAGGUUGCGAACUUGGCGGAUUAACCUAAAUUUAAGAGAUUCGCACAUGUUUGCUUUUAUUAAACUCAUUUUUCUUAUUUGCUUUCUAUAGAAAUUUUCAUUAGUUUUAAAAAUAAUUCAGGUUAUCUCGAGUCUCUUUAUUUGUUAUUUGUUUUGUUAGAUUUAGAUUUUAUUGAGAGAAAUUAUGUUUUUUUAUUAAAUUAAAUAAAUUGAUUAAAUAUAAGUAUGGAAUGCUUACUUCAUGGUUUUUCAUUGAUUUUCUUUCUAAGUUAUUGCUCUUAUUGCACGUGCAGCCUCUUUCAUUGUCGUCAUCAACCUUUCACGGUGGCAUUAGAACUGUCUCGGUAAGCUUUUUUUGGUGGUAAGAUGAUGUUCAUGGAAGAGCAACGGUGAGUCUAUCAGGCUAUUCUUUUUUUUUUAUUAUUCCAAGUAUUAUAUUGACAACUUAUUUUUUUAUAACUAGCUAAUUAUUUUUAUUUUUUGUUUUAUUUUUUGUUGAUAUUUUUUAAAAUUAUAUUAUUAAAUUAACCGAGUUUUUUAACCCAAUCAAAUUAAUGACUCGAGUCUCAGUUUUUUUUUAAUUUAUUUAUUAUUAUUAUAUUUUUUAUUCAUAUUAUUUAAAUUAAUCAAACUUAUUAGAUAGAAUAAAAACAAUACAAUGAACCUAAUCUCAAUUUUAUUUUUUAAUAUUUAUAACACUUGCAUUAUCUUAUUGAAAAAAAUAUUAAGGCGGCACGGGCCGCCCGUUUAUGUCCUGAACAUUAUCUAUCUUUCAAAAAGCAUUUGAAAUUGAAGAUUAAAAAACUCAAAACUUUAAAUUAAUCUUUAAUUUGUUAAAGUUCGACUUGAAUGAUGAUUGGAGAUGAAGUCAUGUUUGGGAUAUUGCGGGCACGAUCGAAUACGCAAAUUAACGGCAGCUAUACUAAGUUUUGGUGAAAUCUUUAUCAAGUUUUUUAUGCAAAUUAUUUUCCAAAAAUCAUUUUAUUUUUCAAUAAACAAACAGAACAUAAACACAGUCUGAAAUGCCGCCGCCUCCAAUUGACGAAUUGAAAAGCUAGUCCCAUCUACCCUUUUUUUUUUUAAAAAAAAAAAACACCUUGAUUGAUAAAAUUGUUAGAUAUAUGUAUCAGAAUUGCAUAAACUACUAAUUAAUCGAGUUUUAUCAUGAAACUAUAUUGUAUAAAGGUUGGAUUGGUUACUAAAUUUCUCCUUUUUUUUCAUAUAUAUGAACGAGAAAGAGUUGACUAGAUAAUUAUACUGCACUCUAUAAUAUUACUUUGAUCAUAGUAAGGCUCUUACAUUACAGGUUGAUUAUGUACAAAAUUCAGCAAAAAAAGUACAAUUUACAUCAACAUGCAGAAAUUAAGAAAAUUUUCUCCCAUCAUCUAGCAAUUCAUUAAACUACAAUAUUCCAUUUAAAAACAAUUGCUAGAGCAGAAUCUGAUUGUUGAUAAGCAGUCGACCUUGCCUUCGAAACUCUUUGAUUGCCUCUUUGCUGUCACCAUUCCAUGACCAUAGUUCCUCUGCUAGCUAGUAGUUUAUCAAAUAACUAGUAAGGACCCCAGCAACUCAAGUACAUGACUCUCCUCAGGGACUCCUCUGCUUGCGUUGCUUUCUGAUUUUCUUUUACUUUACUUGAAACCACAGUACUAGAAGUUGGAGAAGACAGCUUCUUGGCCUGAGAGAUUGACUUGACUUGGUUCUUGGCAUUCUGAUGGAACGAUCUUGCUGAAAUCAUCUUUCUUUACCCUUUCUUUGCACUAGAACAACAACAAAAAAGGACAAUUUUUAGUUGAGAAAGAUAAGAUGUAAUAUAAGAUUUUGUUUGAUGGUGCGACCAAGCCUAGGUUUUGCUUAUAUAGAGAGUAGAGGCCCAAAGGUUUGGAGGAAACCAAAAACUAGCACAAGUUGUCGAUGGUGGUUUCGGCUGAAGUGAGAAAGCCAAUGGUAUUAUUUAGUAGACGGGAUGAAUCUAAUACCUAGGAAGGACCAUUCUUUCUUGAACGAGGAAGGACCAUUUGGCUGCCUAAAAUACAGAGGAGGAGGAGGAAAUCGGGGAUCAUGACAAAACUAGAAUGGGACUUGUUUACGAAAGGUAAAGGCACUCGGUUUUUGUUCAUGAGAGGGGAUAGAAGGAUAAGAAUUCUUGGCAUUUGUCUGGACGUCUACUCAAAAACAGUAUAGGAUCACAUCAUGAACACAAUAAUUGUGAAUCCAUCCAUAUCAAAAACAUCUAAAUUCAAUACUUAAAUUAUUAAAUAAAAUUAAGAUAUAAUUUAUAUUAUUUUUUAAUAUAUAUAUUUAAAUGAAAGCUAUUUGAACUUAAAAUUUAUACAACUUUAUAUUAUUUUUUGCUUGAUUUUUAUGAAAUAAAUAGGGAUGAUAAGAUUUGAACUCGUGACUACUUGGUCAUCAAGGCUCUGAUACCAUGUCAAAAAACCAUUUCAACCCAAUAAUUUAAAUUCUUAAAUGAGGUCCCAGAAUAUAAUUUAUAUUAUUUUUUAACAAUCUAUAUAUCACUAAAAAGAUAAAUAAAUAAGUAAAAUUUAAGGAAAAAACAGUUCUCAAGUUUUGAUAAUUAUUAUUAAAUCUGAAUCAAGUUAAUUUUUUUUUUAAAUAGAUGAUAAUUAACUUAGUUAAACUAAAAAAUAUGAUCGAUCAAAUUAUCACCCGAUUGAAUUAGUUUCAAAGUUGACUUAAUUUAAAAAGUAAAUUAAAUAAUAUCAUUUUAAUUAAUAAAAUCAAUUCGAAUUAUAUAACUUGUUUAAUCCAAAUCUUAAAAUAAGUUAUUAGCAUAUCCAAUUUAAUAACUUUAGUUGCAAGGGGUUCAAAAAAGAAAAAAUGACUCGCGAUGCAUAAUGUUGAUAUGGAAACGACGUGGACUGUGAUCAGAAAAUAUAUUGGUUUUCUUAUUUUACGAAAGAUUAUGAAUAAUUACUCCAAAUAUUUGUUCUAACUUGUGAAUUCCUUUUACAGAGCUUUAAACUCCGGCGCUAUGCCAUGGGUUGUAGCAGAUUUUAAGGAAAAAAAAAUUAUUUAGAUAUUAGUAAUAUGUUUUUUAAAUAAAUUAAAUUCUAACUAUAAAUAAUAAUGAUAUUUUUAUUUAAUAUUGAAAUAGAAAAACAUUUAAUUUACCUAGGUUAACAUGCAUUCACCUAUGAAAUUUAUAGGGAUAAUCUUGAAAAAAAAACAAAUUGAAAAUUCAAUCAUAAAUUAACUUAAUGUUGAAAAAUAAAAUCGGUAAAAAAAUAGCAUUUAAUUAAAAAAAUUAAGUCAACUCGAAUCGGCCAGUCAAACUCACAGCGCAAAUCAUGUUAGUCAUCAGAUUCAAUAAAUUUUUUAUCCCAAAAAUUAUUUUUCAUUUAAUUAUAUAACAAUAAAGCACAUGAUAAUUUUUUUUGUAUAAAAACAUUUGUUUUAAGUAACAAAAUCAUAAUAACGCUAGGAUAACAAAAGUAGAUCAUUGAUAAUAAAUAAUAAAAUUAAAAUUAUAUUUUUUUAGGUUGGGGUUUAAAAAAAUAGAUCAUCGAUAAUAAAAAAUUAUUUUUUUAAAAGCUAAAAAGAAUUUAAAAAAAUAAAUAAAUAAUAACAUUGUUAAACUUGUAACCUACAUUCUAAACUUAAUUAAAUUUAAUAAUUUUUUUAAUCAAAAUAUAAAAUAACAAAAAAACAAAAAAUUUAAAAGAAGCUCAAACACGCAAGUCUUCCAGCCCAGUUCUUAAAAGUUUAUUUUUAAACAAAGACAACGAACUACAUUUGUUUUUUUCAGAAUCCGUCAAUCAAAUGUCACUGAAAAUGAAAAUAGAACCUAUUAAAACUAAUUUACACUCUCUAUUGAGAAUCCAAGAAUCCUCUCUCCUUUGAUAUUUAUAAAAAAAAAACUAAAAAAAACUAAAUUUUAAUAUCAAAAUUAAAUUUAGAACCAACAAUCUAUAAAACAAAAAAAUAUAAAAGACCCAGAUAAACUUUUUAUAUAAAAUUCAAAAUCAUUAUUUAUUUUACCUUUUCUUUUUCCUUUUAAUCCAAUCAUCUCUUUCGAAAAAGUAAACAGUGCAUCUUCAACAUUGAAAACCCCACGCGGUUUCAUUUUUGUUAAUUAAUUACAUCAUGUUACUCAAGACUUGACUGCAGCCUAACCCCAAUAUAUAAACUUAUAGUAGAAAGUGUCGUGUUAGGUUCAUCCACUCUGCCACAGUCCAAGUUUCAUGAAGGAACACAAGUUUUGACGUUGCAGUAAUUAAUCCCCAUGGGCUAAAAGGAGAGAACAAGACUUUAAUCCACUCAUGUAAUUAGCUUAUUGAUUCAAUUGAGUCUUCAUUUUAAAUGCCGUUUCAUUCUGAAAAAUUACAAUUUACAUCACUUGCAAAUUGUUGCAGCAAUGGAAGGAAUUUGCUCCCAUCAUUCAGCAAUUCAUUGGACUACAAUUGGUUGAAACAUAUAUUGCUAGAGCAUAACAUUCAAAUGAAGCUGAAUAAUCGUUGAUGGGUUCCAGCGUCCACCGCCAUAAGAAGUCGGCCUUGUCAUGUUUCUCCAAAUGAGUCUCUCUUGGAAAGACUUCGAUUGUCUCUAUGCUGCAACCAGUCCAUGCAUGGCCAUAGUUACUUGCUGGUAGUUUACUGCCUAGCUAGUAAGGACCCCAGCAACUUAAGUACAUGACCUGCCUCAGUGACUCCUCGGAUUGCCUUGCUUUCUGAUUUUCUCUUACUUUACUUGCAACCACAGUAGAAACUGGAGAAGAGAGCUUCUUGGGCAGAGAGGAUGACCUGCCUUGGUUCUUGGCAUGUUGGUAUAGUGAUCUUAUUGUGUAGUUCCAUCUGCAAAAUCCUUGAUCUUUCAAAGCCUCCACAGCUGCAAUACUAGUGGCAACAGCCCAAGCUUUGCUUGUUGAACUCAUUUUUCUAUUUCUUUUGAUUGAACUGAACAGCUAGAAGAUGGACAACGUUUUGAAAAAGUUGAGAUGUAAUUGAGAAGGGAAAUUAUGUUUGAUGGUGUAGAUGACAAGCUGGGAUUGCUUAUAUAGAGAGGAGGGGACUAGGGGACCAGAAAAUUGGAGGAAACCGGAAGCCAGGGAUAAGCUGUGGCUGGUGGUUUUGGCAUAAGUUAAAGCCAAUGGUAUUAUUUUAGUGCAGUUAGGCUAGGAUGGGACUGAAUCUUUAUGUCUAUCAAGGACCACUUGGUGCCAUUAAAUACAAAUGGAGAAAAAAUGGGGGAUUUCUUUUUCAUGCAUCUUAUCAUAUUCAAUGACGACAAAGCUGGAGUGGGGACUCGUUUUGGUAAGAGGCACGCGGUUUGCUUUAUAAAAAUCAAAAUUGAGCCUCAAGUAUUGGAGGCAAAUCCACUUGUUUUUCUUUAAUAGUGGGGCUGGAAGGAUAGCAUUUUAGCAUUUGUCCAGGCAUCUACUCAAAAACAGGGAACGGACAGGAUUACCUCCUGAAGACAAUAAUAAGUGUAGAUCCAUUGCAUGUAUCACAAGAUACGAUUUUUUUUCCAAAAUAACAAUCGUGGCAAAAAAAUUAAUUGUUAUGUAUCACAGUUGAGAACAAAAAAAAUUAAAGAACCAGCACAUUAUAACUAGCCGUGUUACGGGAAAAAAAAAAAAGAUAUAUUGGAAAUGAGCUAAUAAAAACAAAACAAUUGACAAAUUAACAGAGAAACAAAAUUUUUAAUGAAAUUGUAUAUUUUCACUUUAUUGCGUUUUAAAAUACAAUAUUUAUUAAAUAUUAUUAUUUUUAAAAGAGAAAAUAAUUAUCACGUUUUAAAAUAAUAACAUUUAAUAAAUAUCAUGCUUCUGAAGCACGACAAGGUAAAAUUUCAAUUAUAUAACUCAAUUGGUUGAUCGAUUCAUAAUGAUCAGUGAAAUUGAUCGACUAAUUCUAAAAAUAACAAAAAAAAUAUUAAAACUACUAAAUUUGAGGGGCCUCAACUAGAUUUUUUAUAUCUAAAGAUUUAAUGGUUCACAUAGCAACACAGUGACUACUAUAGAGAAAACGGCCUUUUAAAACUACUAUAAAGAAUUUGAGCGUCUAAUUAGAAGUUAUGGUCCUAUUAAGAGUUAUUUUGGUCUGACAUGAUUAGACCUUCUCUUUAAGUUUAGAUUUAUCUCAUUGAUUCAUAAAUACAUCUGUUAGGUUGUUCAAGUACUAUGCUUGGGCCAAAACUCAUUCAGUUAUAGUAGACUCACAUCUGACUGCUUAGAAUCACAUAUUAUCGCAAAUCCAACUACAUCAUUGACAUUGAAAAACAUAGGACAAGCAUUUUGCAUACGAUAACAUUUUGAGAUUUUAAUUGGAGUCUAUUUUUUAGUCUACAAGUUGAAUAAAAAUAUAUAUCUUGACUCUUAAAAUAUAUUUGGAAGAAAAAAUUCAUUAAAUUAUAGUUUUUAUAUAAAACAAUCGACCAAUUCAUACAACUAAAUUUAAUUAGUCAACCACUUGAGCCAGGUGAUUGGAGAUUCACCUAGUCACUUUUAGAAACAACGAUAUUUAGUAAAUGUCACGUUUUUAAAGUAUGAUACGGUAAAAAUAUAUUAUUUCACCAAUUUUUUUUCAAAUGAUAUUAUUCCGUUAAAAUUUAUAAAAAAAAAAUACUAAUUUUAAAAAAUAACCACUAAAAACAGAUUAAUAAAUUAUGAUAUUCCUUUACAACCUUUAAAAAUAUACAUAAAAAAAAGUAAUGAUAAUAUUUACACCGUUAGGUAAAGAUCAACCUUUAAAAAAAAACCGAUUAUUUAUCCUAAUAAUUUAUUUUCUUACGAGUAGUGGACAAAUGAUUCCCUUACGUUACGAAACAUUACUCACUUCAAAAAAAGUAUUUCUUGCGAUCUAAUUCAUCUUUCAGAGAUUCAAGAAAAUGUUAAUUUUUUGGGCCAGUUCAACCAUUUUGCAACAUUCCCAAGUUUCUUGAAAUUUCAUAAGUUUUGACAUCGAAGAAAAUAAUCCCUAUUGAUCUUCAUUUAUGCAAAAAAGCAAAAGACGUAAAGAACUUCCUUUUGGCUCCAAAAAGUCCAAUAAUUAUUUCUUAAUCCAUUUUUGUCCUUGAAAAAACCAGUUUAAGUUCUAAAUCUACUGUUUCUUGAAUUGAAUUUUUAUUUUUACCAAACUAUAAUUUAGAUUCUAGUGAGAUUCCGAUUGAUGCAAAUAUCUUUGACAAAUGCCCCUCAAUUUAUUUAUUUUAGCUGUGGUGCGCACUAAAAUUAACCUUGUCAUGAUCCUUUUAACUUUGCUACAUGAGGGCCUGCGAAAAGAAAUGGGAAAACAGAAAUUAUAAAAUAAAUGGUGCAAGGAAAAAUUAAUCCAAAAAUAAUAUGGUUUGAUUCCAUUAAGUCAGCACCAAAAUUUACAAAUAUUUACAUCAACUUGCAACAUUCAGGGUAAUCCUAUCACGAUAAUUUCUCAAUUUCAUCUUGCUUCUUAGCUUUAGUAAGGACCCCAACAGCUCAAAUACAUGACUUUUCUUAGAGAUUCCUCAGACUGUUUUGCUGUCACUUCCUUGACUUUAUCCGAGAUCAUGGCAGAAGAUGAAGAAGAAAGCUUCUUGGCCUGAGAGGCUGAUCUGACAUGGUUCUUGGCAUGUUGGUGCAGGGAUCUCAAGGUGUAGUUCCACCUGCAGAACCCUUGGUCUUUCAACGCCUCAACACCUCCAACAGCUGCUGCAACCAACCAAGCUUUGCUUGCUGAACUCAUUUUCGAUGUUACUGUAAUAUAGAACCAACAAGUUGGAAACUCUUUGAAGUGGGAUUUGUAGAGAUUAAGAUAUCAGGAGCUAUGAUCUGAUGAAGUAAAUGGGAGUAAAGGGGUUUGGUUAUAUAGGUGGGUGUACCAAAAUUGGAGGAGAAAAACCAGAGGCUAAAGGCUUCUUGGUGGUGGUUUUGAGUGAGGAAACCAGCGAAGGCCAACGGUAUUUUUUAUAAGACAAGUGGUCUCUAUUUCCCCUUUAAUUAUUGGAAUACAACUUGGUCAUUAAAAAAAUAGAGAUAAAAAAAACCAAAGUUGUUAACCUUCGGAACUCCUCCUAGUAAUAAAGAUGGGACUGCUAUCAAUAAAAAAACAAGAAACAAAUAUAAAAAAAUCUCAUAAAAAAAUAUUAGGAAAUGAAAUUAAAAAAUUAUAUAUAAUAAAAAAAUCCAAAACAAAUCAAAUAACAAUAAAAAAAAUAUAGACCAAAUUUAAUAAUAAAAAAAAUUAUAAUCAAAUACUGAGAGAUGAAAUUGAAAAAAAAAUAAUUUAGUUAGUAAAAGAUUUUUUAAAAUAAAAAUAAAAAUAAAAAUCAUGUUUGAUUUGAAAAUAAAGUUAAAUCAAACGUUAGGGUUGAAAUUGAAGAAAAAACCAAUUAAAAAAAGAUAGAAAAAUAAAAUAAAAAAUCAUAGAGAAAUGAUAUUAAUUCAAAUAUAAAUUAAAAAAGAUUAAAAAAGAUUUUUUUUUCAAGAAAGGUAUCAAUUAAAAUUAAAAUUAAAAUUAAAAAGUUAAAAUAAAAUAAAAUGAUAGUUUAGAUGUCGCAAGCACAUUUAAAAUUAACAAAAAAAUAACUCAAUUUAUAUAUAUAGCCUGGUUUAUGUUUAAUAAGUCGGUUUUAUUUUAAUAAAAUAAUAAAUAAAUAAAUAAUAAUAGUAAAUGAUUUUUUUAUAAAAAAAUCAUAAUAACCUAAAAAAAUAACUUUUGCAAGCAUGAAAUUGGAAUAAAAAAGUCCGAAUCAACUUUAGAUAGUGUGAUAAAAAUGUAAGAAAUAAAAUCCAGCUCCUCUAAAUCUUCAUACUGAGAUUUCCUUGUAUCAAUUGAAUCCCCAUACAUGUCUCCAAGACUCUAUAACCAUAUAUUUUCAAAAAGUAUAAGGAGGUUUCCGGGAUUACUGGGGCCCCAAUAAGAAUCAAGGAACCCCUUUUCAGGCCUUGGAACCUCCCAGGGGAAAGGCCCUCCCCGGAAACUUAUUCAUAUUACUUACUUUUACACUUUUUUUUACUAGAUACUCUUUUAAUGAGAAAGACAAUUAAACUCUCUUCUUUUUUGCAAAAACGUUUGACAAAAAUUACCCACACUUGUAACCUCUAUACAAAACAAUUUAUUUUAUUUUAUUUUUUGUGUUUCAAGUCUACAUGAGAGGAAAAUAAUGGUGUAUAUUUUUUAGAAAAACAAAACUGUUGUGGUUAGCCCAAAUGGCAACAAAUCUUUGUCUCCUUGUUAUUGUCUGGGUUGUGGUCCAAACAAAAACACCCAUGCUAUCUGGGGCCCGACCCAAACAACUGAGCCUAGUCCCAAAAGGAAUUUCUUGUUGAUAACACACACCUUAAUGUAUUGCUAAUCACCCACACAAACUACUUUUCUCUAUGCUUUACUAACAGAUUCUUUGCUAAUACACAUUUUGAUAAAGGAUUAACACCACUUAUCUAGCCAGUAGUUACAUGUCUAUGCAAAUCAAGCGUCUCUUCUCUAUACCACUAGCUUUUUCUAGCUAAUGUUUUGCUAACAUUAGCCAACCCAACAUUGUAUGGCACUACGAUCAAUGAUGACACCUACAUUUCCACCGAAUAAUUGUUGUCAAGACAUCCCAAGAUAAGCCGAUGUGAUUCAAGUCCAGAAAUACAUUGAAUCACAGAUAAACAAGAGAGGCUUUUGAUAAUGAACAUUUUACUCCUCUACAAUUCGUUCUUCUUACAUUGUUCUCAUUUUCUCUUUUAUACUUCCUAACUUGAACAUUAAAAGUCUCUGGUUCCAUGCUGACCUUAUUUUGUAAGGCUAAUCCCAUAUUUAGACCUCCACAUAUCUUCAUCUAUAAUCGUUGUCUAUAAAAACCCAAUUUCUGUGUGAAUCUUUUUCACAAAUUCAUCAGUUAAUUAUUCACAAAUUCUUCGGUUAAUUAUUUAUACAAUCCUGUUGUAAUUUAAAGGCUUGUUUCAUUCACAUACAGUGAUCAUCACCCUGCCGUGAACACUUGUGAGUGAACAAAUAUACUCUCCUAAACUAAUUUUCUUCUGGGCUGGGCCAAAUUGAAAUUGAGAAUUCCAGUUCAAGAUUUGCACUAAUUUGUCAACUUAUCAAGAUAUUUAGCUUUUGUGAUGCAACCCCUCCUCCAAUUGAGUUGCUGAUUUUUUUUUUUUUAACAGGAGCCAUAUCCUUGUUAAUGUUACGUUAAGGCCAUUUUCCCAAAAUUUUGCCAAUAAAAUGAGAUAUAUUUGAUUGGCAAUCAGCACAAGCAUUUACAGUUUAAAUCAACUUGCAAAAAUUUACUCUAAUCCUAUGAACUCAUUUCCUCAGAGUUUCUUUUUUCUUGAGAGUAUCAGUUUGGACCCCAGCAACUCAAAUACAUGACUUUUCUUAGAGACUCCUCUGACUGUUUCGCCUUCUCUUCCUUGAAUUUACUUGAAAUAAUGGCAGAAGAUGAAUGAGGGAGCUUCUUAUUAGCCUGAGAAAUUGACCCGACAUGGUUCUUGGCAUGUUGGUGUAGCGAUCUCAAUGUGUAGUUCCACCUACAGAAGCCUUGGUCUUUCAAGGCCUCAACACCUCCAAUAGCAGCAGCUACCAACCAAGCUUUACUUGCUGAACUCAUUUCUCUGUAAUAUAAAACAGAACAAUAGUUGGAAACUCUUUGAUGUGGGAUUUUUAGUUGAAAAAGAAGAGAUGUGAUUGAGAAUUCGUGUCGAUGGUGUAAAUGGCAAACUGGGAUUUGCUUAUAAAGAGAGUAGGUAGGGAACUAGGUGCCAGAAAUUGGGAGGAAACCGGAAGCUAGGAACAAGCUGUGGCUGGUGGUUUUGGCUUAGGGGAGCCAGUGGUAUUAUUUUAGUGUGGUUAUGCUAUGAUGGGACUGAAUCUUUAUGUCCCUCAAGGACCACUUGGUGGCAUUAAAUACAUUUCUUUUUCAUGCAUCUAUCUUAUCAUGUUGCUAGAGCGGGGCCUUGUUUUGGUAAGAGGCACACGGUUUGCUUUAUAAAAAUCCGAAGUGAGCCUCAAGUAUAGGAGGCAAAUCCACUUGUUUUUAUUCAGGAGUGGGGCUCGAGUAAAGGACAGACAAUAAUUGUAGAUCCAUUGCAUGUGUCACAAAAUACCAAGUUCUCAACUCUCAAGCUCUCCUUAUCCAGACAUGUCAUCCAGCAAAAUUUUGAUGCAUAAACGACUUGAGCAGAGAUCAAAUGGAUUCUCUUAUGUUACGAAACAUUAUUCACUUAAAAAAAAUUAUUUCUUACGAGCUAAUUCAUUUUUCAGAUAUUCAAGAAAAUACUAAUUUUUUCUGUCAAGUUCAACCAUUUUGCAACAUUCGAAGUUUCUUGAAUGAUCAAAAGUUCUGACAUUGAAGUAAAUAAGCCCUGUUGAUCUUCAUUUAACAGAUAAUAUAUAUAUAUAUAUAUAUAUAUAUAUAUAUAUAACUUCCAUUUGGCUCCAAAAACGGGGUAAGGUUUUAAUCCAAUAAUUAUUUCUUAAUCCAUUUAUGUCAUUAAAAAACCAAUCAAAGUUACAGGCCUAGCUUUUUAUUAAUAGAUUUUCUUAACGAAAUUAGAAUUUAGAUUCUAUCUUGAGAUUGCAAUAGAUUCAAGUAUCCUUAGCAAAUGCUGUGAUGCACUAAACUUGAACCUUGUCAUGAUCCUUUUUCACUUGUGACACGAGGUGCUCCCAAGAGAAGGGGGAAAACAGAAAAAAUAAAUGGUGCAAGGAAAAAUUAAUCCAAAAAUAAUAUAGUUUGAUUCCAUUAAGUCAGCACCAAAAUUUACAAAUAUUUACAUCAACUUGCAACAAUCAGGGGUAAUCCUAUCACAAUAAUUUUCUCAAUUUCAUCUUGCUUAUCAGCUUUAGUAAGGACCCCAACAGCUCAAAUACAUGACUUUUCUUAGANNNNNNNNNNNNNNNNNNNNNNNNNNNNNNNNNNNNNNNNNNNNNNNNNNNNNNNNNNNNNNNNNNNNNNNNNNNNNNNNNNNNNNNNNNNNNNNNNNNNNNNNNNNNNNNNNNNNNNNNNNNNNNNNNNNNNNNNNNNNNNNNNNNNNNNNNNNNNNNNNNNNNNNNNNNNNNNNNNNNNNNNNNNNNNNNNNNNNNNNNNNNNNNNNNNNNNNNNNNNNNNNNNNNNNNNNNNNNNNNNNNNNNNNNNNNNNNNNNNNNNNNNNNNNNNNNNNNNNNNNNNNNNNNNNNNNNNNNNNNNNNNNNNNNNNNNNNNNNNNNNNNNNNNNNNNNNNNNNNNNNNNNNNNNNNNNNNNNNNNNNNNNNNNNNNNNNNNNNNNNNNNNNNNNNNNNNNNNNNNNNNNNNNNNNNNNNNNNNNNNNNNNNNNNNNNNNNNNNNNNNNNNNNNNNNNNNNNNNNNNNNNNNNNNNNNNNNNNNNNNNNNNNNNNNNNNNNNNNNNNNNNNNNNNNNNNNNNNNNNNNNNNNNNNNNNNNNNNNNNNNNNNNNNNNNNNNNNNNNNNNNNNNNNNNNNNNNNNNNNNNNNNNNNNNNNNNNNNNNNNNNNNNNNNNNNNNNNNNNNNNNNNNNNNNNNNNNNNNNNNNNNNNNNNNNNNNNNNNNNNNNNNNNNNNNNNNNNNNNNNNNNNNNNNNNNNNNNNNNNNNNNNNNNNNNNNNNNNNNNNNNNNNNNNNNNNNNNNNNNNNNNNNNNNNNNNNNNNNNNNNNNNNNNNNNNNNNNNNNNNNNNNNNNNNNNNNNNNNNNNNNNNNNNNNNNNNNNNNNNNNNNNNNNNNNNNNNNNNNNNNNNNNNNNNNNNNNNNNNNNNNNNNNNNNNNNNNNNNNNNNNNNNNNNNNNNNNNNNNNNNNNNNNNNNNNNNNNNNNNNNNNNNNNNNNNNNNNNNNNNNNNNNNNNNNNNNNNNNNNNNNNNNNNNNNNNNNNNNNNNNNNNNNNNNNNNNNNNNNNNNNNNNNNNNNNNNNNNNNNNNNNNNNNNNNNNNNNNNNNNNNNNNNNNNNNNNNNNNNNNNNNNNNNNNNNNNNNNNNNNNNNNNNNNNNNNNNNNNNNNNNNNNNNNNNNNNNNNNNNNNNNNNNNNNNNNNNNNNNNNNNNNNNNNNNNNNNNNNNNNNNNNNNNNNNNNNNNNNNNNNNNNNNNNNNNNNNNNNNNNNNNNNNNNNNNNNNNNNNNNNNNNNNNNNNNNNNNNNNNNNNNNNNNNNNNNNNNNNNNNNNNNNNNNNNNNNNNNNNNNNNNNNNNNNNNNNNNNNNNNNNNNNNNNNNNNNNNNNNNNNNNNNNNNNNNNNNNNNNNNNNNNNNNNNNNNNNNNNNNNNNNNNNNNNNNNNNNNNNNNNNNNNNNNNNNNNNNNNNNNNNNNNNNNNNNNNNNNNNNNNNACAGAGAGAGAUUCUAGUGAGCUGUAAAGAGUGAUUUAGCAAUGACAUUCAAUUGUGAAUCAGCAUCGUUCCUAGUUUCUGAAAACUGCAGCUUUGACAGGGAAAAGGACAUAAUUCUGUAAUUUAAAUAUCAAAAGAUUUCAAUCCAAUCUUACUUAUUAAUAAAUUUAUGUGAUAGUAUAAGGUCCUCUUCCAUUUUUCACACAAUGAUCACUCCUGUUGUGAUUAGUGACUGGGAAUUUUACACCAAAAUGGAUUUUCUUUUGGGUCAAAUCCAAUUUGAGAUUUUCGUUUUUCAUGUAGCCUUUUAAUCCAUUUGAGGAUGUGGGGAGAAAGAUAUUUUAGAUUCCAGUUGAAUGUCAUAUCUCAAAUUGAAAUUAAAUGAAAUUGCCUGUUUAUUCCACUAGAAAACUAGAAAAGAGCUUUGUUAAAUUUACUCACUGAGGAGAUGCACUGCGCGCUACCAAAAGAAUUGAUAAAAACAUAUGAUAAUGUUCGAUUUCAGCAAAUGAGCAUCAAAAUUUACAAUUUGCAUAAGCUUGCAAGGAUUUACUCCUAUAAACUAUAAACUAUAAACUAAGUCCCUCGAUUUCAUCUACUAGAUUCAUAGCUUCAGUUUGGACCCCAACAACUCAAGUACAUGACUUUUCUUAAAGACUCCUCCGACUGUUUUGCCUUCUCUUCCUUGACUAUAUUUGAGAUCAUUGCUGAGGAUGAAGAAGAAAGCUUCUUGGCCUGAGAGGCUGAUCUGACAUGGUUCUUGGCAUGCUGGUGCAGGGAUCUCAAGGUUUAGUUCCACCUACAGAACCCUUGGUCUUUCAAGGCCUCAACACCUCCAACAGCUGCAGCAACCAACCACGCUUUGCUUGCUGAACUCAUUUUCUCUGUUACUGUAAUAUAGAACCAACGAGUUGGAAACUCUUUGAAGUGGGAUUUGGAGAGAUUAAGAUAUCAGGAGCUAUGAUUUGAUGAAGUAAAUGGGAGUAAAGGGGUUUGAUUAUAUAGGUGAGUGUACCAAAAUUGUAGGAGAAAAACCAGAGGCUAAAGGCUUCUUCGUGGUGGUUUUGAGGGAGGAAACCAGCAAAGGCCAACGGUAUUUUUGAUGACAUGAUGCAUCAAUGAAAAAAUAAAACUUAACUAUUAAACAAUUAUGACAAAAAUGAAAAUAAAUAUAAAAAAAAAUCAAUAAAAACUUUUUUUUGAUCAACCUAAGUUAAUCCACUAACUCCAUGAUGCUGAGCACUAGAUUGUGAUAGCCCUAUGAAAAUAAAAGUGAAUAAACAAGCAUGAAAAUAAAUCUCAAAAAUUUAAAUGUUGAAGGAUGAAAUUAAAAAAAAAUUAAUUUUAAAAAAAACCUAAAAAAAUCAAAGUUAACAAAUGAUAACUUUUAAAACCCAUAACAGUAGUCAUGAGAUGAGACCGACCGCAUGGAAGGCAAACAAAAAAAACAAUGGAAUAAAAUUCUCAAUAAAAAGAUGUUUAGCAAUGGUACUAAAAAAAAUUAUAUAUAUACAUACACGAAAAAAAAUCCAAGUCAAUUUGGAUUAAUCCACUAACUCUGAGACUAUAGGUAUAGGAUUGAGAUAACCCCACAUAAAGAAAGAUGAAAAAACAAAUUAAAAAAAUUAAAUGUUAAAAGAUGAAAUUAAAAAUAAAUCAAUUUGAUAAAAGAACCUGAAAAAAUCGAAGUCAACCAGUGUUAACCUUCAAAACUGGUGACCCUAGUAAUGAAGAUGAGACUAACCCCACGAAAGACAAGAAGAAAAACAAAUAACGAGGACCAAAUUUAAUAGAAAAAUCAAUUGAAAUCAAAUGCCCAGGAAUACAAUUGAAAAAAAAUCAAUUUGUAAAAGGUUUUAAAAUAUUAAAAGAAUAAGAACUAAGUUUGAUUUGAAAAUCAAAUUAAACCAAACGAUAUUAAUGAAAUUGAAAGAAAAAUCAAUUAAAAGAAGAUAAAAUAAAUAAAAAAACAGAAAAGAGAUAUUAAUUCAAACAUAAAUUAAAAAAAUAUCAAUUAAAAUAAAAAAAGAUAACUAUAGUCUAGUGUCACAAGCGCAUUUAAAAAAAAUACAAAACACAAAUAACUUAGGUUAUAGCCCCAUUUGGAUUUAACAGUAGUGUGAUAAACAUAUAAAUUAUAUUGCAAAUAAACUCUUGCUCCUUGAAAGCUUCAUAGUAAGAUAUUCAUGUUUCAAUUGAAUCUUCAUUCAUGUCUCCAAAACUCUAUGAACAUAUAUUUUCUAAAGUAUAAGAUAUCCUUUUUCAUUAUUCUAUAACCACUUGUCUAUAAAAAAACAUCACAAAUCUUUCUUAAAGUCUUUAUGACUACCUGUCUCCAAAACAUGAUCAUUCUCUUCGAUAAGAAUUAAGAUAUCCUUUUUCAUUAUUCUAUAACCACUUGUCUAUAAAAAAACAUCACAAAUCUUUCUUAAAGUCUUUAUGACUACCUGUCUCCAAAACAUGAUCAUUCUCUUCGAUAAGAAUUAAGAAUCCUUUUUUAGUCCUUGGACUUCUCAUGUAAUGCGUCUUGAACUUGUACACUCAUUCAGAUGCCGUAUUGCGUGCUUUUACACUCUUUUUUUUUUUUUACUAAACUACCUCUAAGCAAGAUAAUUAAACUUUGUUCUUUCUGGCAAAAACUUUUAACAAAAACUAUCUACCCUUGUAAACUCUAUACAAAACAAGCAAGUUUUCUUCUUUUUUUUUAAAUUUUUUCUUUUCUUUUCAUGGCUUUCGAGCAUGUUUGUUUAAAAAACAUGAGAGGAAAAUGAUGGCAUCCAUUUUAACCAAAAACAAAAUUGUUUUUGUUGGCCCAAAUGGCAAAAAACCUUCGCCUCCUUGUUAUUGUUGGGGUCGUGAUCCAAAUUCCGAACAUCAAGCCAAUAAUCACAUGUCUAUGCAAAUCAAGUAUAUAUUUUCUAUACCAAUAGCUUUUUCUAGAUAACGUUUUGCUAACAUCAAUGAUAACACCAAAGUUUUCACCAAAUCAACUGGUUUGAAAUUCUUCACGUCCCAAGAUAUUUUUUAAGGCUAAUCCCAUAUUUAGACCCCCACACAUCUUUCUUCUAUAAUUGUUGUCUAUAAAAACCCAAUUUCUGUGUGAAUUUUUUUCACAAAUUCAUCAAUUAAUUAUUCACAAAUUCUUCGGGUUAAUUAUUUAUACAAUUCUUUUGUAAUUUAAAGGCCUCUUUCAUUUCACAUACAGUGAUCAUCACCCUGCCAUGAACACUUGUGAGUGAAAAAUAUACUAUCCUAAACUAAUUUUCUUCUGGGCCAAAUUGAAAUUGAGAAUUCCAGUUCAAGAUUUGCACUAAUUUGUCAACUUAUCAAGAUAUUUAGCUUUUGUGAUGCAACCCCUCCCCCAAUUGAGUUGCUGAUUUUUUUUUUAUUUUUUAAAACAGGAGCCAUAUCCUUUGUUAAUAUUACGUUAAGGCCAUUUUCCCAAACAAUUGCCAAUAAAAUGAGAUAUAUUUGAUUGGCAAUCAGCACAAGAAUUUACAGUUUAAAUCAACUUGCAAAAAUUUACUCUAAUCCUAUGAACUGAUUUCCUCAGAAUUUCUUUUUUCUUGAGACUAUCAGUUUGGACCCCAACAACUCAAAUACAUGACUUUUCUUAGAGACUCCUCUGACUGUUUCGCCUUCUCUUCCUUGACUUUACUUGAAAUAAUGGCAGAAGAUGAAUAAGGGAGCUUCUUAUUAGCCUGAGAAAUUGACCCGACAUGGUUCUUGGCAUGUUGGUGUAGCGAUCUCAAUGUGUAGUUCCACCUACAAAAGCCUUGGUCUUUCAAGGCCUCAACACCUCCAAUAGCAGCAGCUACCAACCAAGCUUUACUUGCUGAACUCAUUUUCUUUGUAAUAUAAAAUAGAACAAUAGUUGGAAACUCUUUGAUGUGGGAUUUUUAGUUGAAAAAGAUGAGAUGUAAUUGAGAAUUCGUGUCGAUGGUGUAAAUGGCAAACUGGGAUUUGCUUAUAAAGAGAGUAGGGGACUAGGUGCCAGAAAUUGGGAGGAAACCGGAAGCUAGGAACAAGCUGUGGCUGGUGGUUUUGGCUUAGGGGAGCCAGUGGUAUUAUUUUAGUGUGGUUAUGCUAUGAUGGGACUGAAUCUUUAUGUCCAUCAAGGACCACUUGGUGGCAUUAAAUACAUUUCUUUUUCAUGCAUCUUAUCAUGUUGCUAUAGCGGGGCCUUGUUUUGGUAAGAGGCACACGGUUUGCUUUAUAAAAAUCCGAAGUGAGCCUCAAGUAUAGGAGGCAAAUCCACUUGUUUUUCUUCAGGAGUGGGGCUCGAGUAAAGGACAGACAAUAAUUGUAGAUCCAUUGCAUGUGUCACAAAAUACCAAGUUCUCAACUCUCAAGCUCUCCUUAUCCAGACAUGUCAUCCAGCAAAAUUUUGAUGCAUAAACGACUUGAGCAGUGAGCUAAUUCAUUUUUCAGAUAUUAAAGAAAAUACUAAUUUUUUGUGUCAACUUCAACCAUUUUGCAACAUUCCAAGUUUCUUGAGAGUUCAAAAGUUCUGACAUUGAAGAAAAUAAUCCCUAUUGAUCUUUCAUUUAACAGAUAAUAUAUAUAUAUAUAUAUAUAACACUUCCAAUUGGCUCCAAAAACGGGGUAAGGUUUUAAUCCAAUAAUUAUUUCUUAAUCCAUUUAUGUCAUUAAAAAAACAGUCAAAGUUAGACCUGGAUUUCUUUUUAAUAGAUUUUCUUAACGAAAUUAGAAUUUAGAUUCUAUCUUGAGGUUGCAAUUGAUUCAAAUAUCCUUAGCAAAUGCUGUGAUGCACUAAACUUGAACCUUGUCAUGAUCCUUUCCAAAAGAAGUGGGAAAACAGAAAAAAAUAAAUGGUGCAAGGAAAAAUUAAUCAAGAAUUAAUGUAGUUUGAUUCCAUUAAGUCAGCACCAAAAUUUACAAAUAUUUACAUCUACUUGCAACAAUCAGGGUAAUCCUAUCACGAUAAUUUUCUCAAUUUCAUCUUGCUUCUUAGCUUUAGUAAGGACCCCAACAGCUCAAAUACAUGACUUUUCUUAGAGAUUCCUCAGACUGUUUUGCUUUCACUUCCUUGACUUUGUUCGAGAUCAUGGCAGAAGAUGAAGAAGAAAGCUUCUUGGCCUGAGAGGCUGAUCCGACAUGGUUCUUGGCAUGUUGGUGCAGGGAUCUCAAGGUGUAGUUCCACCUGCAGAACCCUUGGUCUUUCAAGGCCUCAACACCUCCAACAGCUGCUGCAACCAACCAAGCUUUGCUUGCUGAACUCAUUUUCUCUGUUACUGUAAUAUAGAACCAACAAGUUGGAAAACUCUUUGAAGUGGGAUUUGGAGAGACUAAGGUAUCAGGAGCUAUGAUUUGAUGAAGUAAAGGGGAGUAAAGGGGUUUGGUUAUAUAGGUGAGCGUACCAAAAUUGUAGGAGAAAAACCAGAGGCUCAAGGCUUUUUCGUGGUGGUUUUGAGCGAGGAAACCAGCGAAGGCCAACGGUAUUUUUUAUAAAACAAGUGGUCUCUAUUUCCCCUUUAAUCAUUGGAAUACAACUUAGAACAUGAAAAAAAUGGAUUUGUAGAGAUGAAAUAAGUUUCUUUUAUUAUUAUACUAGCUAGUUUGUUUCUAUUUUUUAAAAAUAUUUUUUUAAAAGUAAUAUAUAAAGUUAAAAAUAAAAUUUUUAAAAUAAUAAAAUAUUAUUUAAAUCCAUUUAUUCUAAUAUCAAACUUGUCUCUGCUCUGAGUCACACGCAUUAAACAAAUGGGGUUUGUCACUUCUCAAUCAAUGUUUUGUUUUGGGCAAGACUGUUUUUGAAGACAAUUGAAGUAAUAGUGAGGACUGUCUGUAAACAAUUGUGGUGAUCUAGAAAACUACAAUAAACUAUUUCAACAGCGCUUCGUAGAGGAUUGUAUAUUUUUUUAAUAAAAAAAAGAAUAAAUAAGUUUUUCGUCAGGUUUUUUAUAUAAAAAAUUCUCCAUCAUAUAUUAAAAUAUCUAUACAUAUAUUUAAUUAAAUUAAUUAAUAUUUAAUUAUUAAAAUUAAAAUAUUUUAUCAUACAACACAUAUUAUAUACUUAGUUAUUUUUAAUAACUUUGUUUUUUGGACUAAAAUUUUUAUUUAAUCAAAAGAUUAUUCGUGCUAGUAAACAAUAAAAGAGUUGUUAACAAAAGCAAAUAACAAUUAAAUAUGAAACUCAACUAUUAAAUAAUUAAAUAUUGAGCGACAAACUUAAAAUAAAUAUUUUUAAAAAAUCAAUAAUAAAAAAAUUGAGUCAACUUGAGUUAACCCACUAACUCCACGAUCAUGGACACCAGAUUAGGAUAGCUCCAUGAAAAGAAAAGUGAAAAAAAAAAAACACAGAUCAAUCCCAAAAUUUUAAAUAUUGAAGGAUAAAAUUGAAGAAAAAAAUCAAUUUUAAAAAAGAUUUUAAAAAAUCAAAGUUAAGAAAUGUUAACUUUUAAAACUCAUGACCGUGAUCAUGAGACUAAGACCGACUGCAUGAAAGGCAAACAAAAAAAAACAAUGAAAAAAAAUUCUCAAUAAAAAUAUGCUUACUAAGGGAACUAAAAAAAUUAUAUAUAUAUAUAUCCGAGUCAAUUUGGAUUAACACAUUAACUCUGAAACUAUAGGCAUAGGAUUGAGAUAAUUCCACAUAAAGGAAGAUGAAAAAAACCAAUUAAAAAAAUUAAAUGUUAAAUGAUGAAAUUAAAAAUAAAUCAAUUUGAUAAAAGAACAUAAAAAAUUUAAAGUUAACUAGUGUUAACUUUCGAAACUUGUGACCCUAAUAAUAAGGAUGAGACUAACCACGUAGAAGACAAGAAGAAAAAUAAAGAACGGAGACCAAAUUCAAUAGAAAAAUCAAUUGAAAUCAAAUGCCGAAGAAUGCAAUUGAAAAAAAAAUAAUUUGUAAAAGGUUUUAAAAAAUAAAAAAAAUAAGGAUCAAAUUUGAUUUGAAAAACAAAUUAAACCAAACGAUAUAAAUGAAAUCAAAGGAAAAAUUAAUUAAAAAAUAAAAUAAAUAAAAUAAAAAAUAACAGAGAAGAGAUAUUAAUUCAAACAUAAAUUAAAAAAAUAUUUUUAAAAACAUAAAUUAAAAAAAUAUUUUUACCAAAAACAAAAUUGUUUUUGUUGGCCCAAAUGGCAAUAAACCUUCGCCUCCUUGUUAUUGUUGGGGUCGUGAUCCAAAUUCCAAACAUCAAGCCAAUAAUCACAUAUCUAUGCAAAUCAAAUAUAUGUUUUCUAUACCAAUAGCUUUUUCUAGAUAACGUUUUGCUAACAUCAAUGAUAACACCAAAGUUUUCACCAAAUCAUCUGGUUUGAAAUUCUUCACGUCCCAAGAUAUUUUUUAAGGCUAAUCCCAUAUUUAGACCCCCACACAUCUUUCAUCUAUAAUUGUUGUCUAUCAAAACCCAAUUUCUGUGUGAAUUUUUUUCACAAAUUCAUCAGUUAAUUAUUCACAAAUUCUUCGGGUUAAUUAUUAUACAAUUCUUUUGUAAUUUAAAGGCCUGUUUCAUUUCACAUACAGUGAUCAUCACCCUGCCGUGAACACUUGUGAGUGAACAAAUAUACUCUCCUAAACUAAUUUUCUUCUGGGCUGGGCCAAAUUGAAAUUGAGAAUUCCAGUUCAAGAUUUGCACUAAUUUGUCAACUUAUCAAGAUAUUUAGCUUUUGUGAUGCAACCCCUCCUCCAAUUGAGUUGCUGAUUUUUUUUUUUUUUAACAGGAGCCAUAUCCUUGUUAAUGUUACGUUAAGGCCAUUUUCCCAAAAUUUUGCCAAUAAAAUGAGAUAUAUUUGAUUGGCAAUCAGCACAAGCAUUUACAGUUUAAAUCAACUUGCAAAAAUUUACUCUAAUCCUAUGAACUCAUUUCCUCAGAGUUUCUUUUUUCUUGAGAGUAUCAGUUUGGACCCCAGCAACUCAAAUACAUGACUUUUCUUAGAGACUCCUCUGACUGUUUCGCCUUCUCUUCCUUGAAUNNNNNNNNNNNNNNNNNNNNNNNNNNNNNNNNNNNNNNNNNNNNNNNNNNNNNNNNNNNNNNNNNNNNNNNNNNNNNNNNNNNNNNNNNNNNNNNNNNNNUGAGAAAUUGACCCGACAUGGUUCUUGGCAUGUUGGUGUAGCGAUCUCAAUGUGUAGUUCCACCUACAAAAGCCUUGGUCUUUCAAGGCCUCAACACCUCCAAUAGCAGCAGCUACCAACCAAGCUUUACUUGCUGAACUCAUUUUCUUUGUAAUAUAAAAUAGAACAAUAGUUGGAAACUCUUUGAUGUGGGAUUUUUAGUUGAAAAAGAUGAGAUGUAAUUGAGAAUUCGUGUCGAUGGUGUAAAUGGCAAACUGGGAUUUGCUUAUAAAGAGAGUAGGGGACUAGGUGCCAGAAAUUGGGAGGAAACCGGAAGCUAGGAACAAGCUGUGGCUGGUGGUUUUGGCUUAGGGGAGCCAGUGGUAUUAUUUUAGUGUGGUUAUGCUAUGAUGGGACUGAAUCUUUAUGUCCAUCAAGGACCACUUGGUGGCAUUAAAUACAUUUCUUUUUCAUGCAUCUUAUCAUGUUGCUAUAGCGGGGCCUUGUUUUGGUAAGAGGCACACGGUUUGCUUUAUAAAAAUCCGAAGUGAGCCUCAAGUAUAGGAGGCAAAUCCACUUGUUUUUCUUCAGGUGUGGGGCUCGAGUAAAGGACAGACAAUAAUUGUAGAUCCAUUGCAUGUGUCACAAAAUACCAAGUUCUCAGCUCCCAAGCUCUCCUUAUCCAGACAUGUCAUCGAGCAAUUUCUUACGAGCUAAUUCAUUUUUCAGAUAUUCAAGAAAAUACUAAUUUUUUCUGUCAAGUUCAACCAUUUUGCAACAUUCCAAGCUUCUUGAAAGUUCAAAAGUUCUGACAUUGAAGUAAAUAAGCCCUAUUGAUCUUCAUUUAACAGAUAAUAUAUAUAUAUAUAUAUAUAUAUAUAUAUAUAUAUAUAUAUAUAUAUAUAACUUCCAAUUGGCUCCAAAAACGGGGUAAGGUUUUAAUCCAAUAAUUAUUUCUUAACCCAUUUAUGUCAUUAAAAAACCAGUCAAAGUUAGGCCUAGCUUUUUUUUAAUAGAUUUUCUUAACCAAAUAAGAAUUUAGAUCCUAUCUUGAGAUUGCAAUUGAUUCAAAUAUCCUUAGCAAAUGCUGUGAUGCACUAAACUUGAACCUUGUCAUGACCCUUUUUCACUUGUGACACGAGGUGCUCCCAAGAGAAGGGGGAAAACAGAAAAAAUAAAUGGUGCAAGGAAAAAUUAAUCAAAAAAUAAUAUAGUUUGAUUCCAUUAAGUCAGCACCAAAAUUUACAAAUAUUUACAUCAACUUGCAACAAUCAGGGUAAUCCUAUCACGAUAAUUUUCUCAAUUUCGUCUUGCUUCUUAGCUUUAGUAAGGACCCCAACAGCUCAAAUACAUGACUUUUCUUAGAGAUUCCUCAGACUGUUUUGCUCUCACUUCCUUGACUUUAUUGGAGAUCAUGGCAGAAGAUGAAGAAGAAAGCUUCUUGGCCUGAGAGGCUGAUCCGACAUGGUUCUUGGCAUGUUGGUGCAGGGAUCUCAAGGUGUAGUUCCACCUGCAGAACCCUUGGUCUUUCAAGGCCUCAACACCUCCAACAGCUGCUGCAACCAACCAAGCUUUGCUUGCUAAACUCAUUUUCUGUGUUACUGUAAUAUAGAACCAACGAGUUGGAAACUCUUUGAAGUGGGAUUUGGAGAGAUUAAGAUAUCAGGAGCUAUGAUUUGAUGAAGUAAAGGGGAGUAAAGGGGUUUGGUUAUAUAGGUGAGUGUACCAAAAUUGUCGGAGAAAAACCAGAGGCUCAAGGCUUCUUCGUGGUGGUUUUGAGUGAGGAAACCAGCAAAGGCCAACGGUAUUUUUUAUAAAACAAGUGGUCUCUAUUUCCCGUUUAAUCACUGGAAUACAUCUUUUCCAUUAAAAAAAUGGAGAUAAAAUAAGUUUCUUUUUAUUUAUUAUACUAGCUAGUUUGUUUUUGUUUUUAAAAAUAUUUUUUAAAAAAUAAUAUAUAUUUUUAUUAUAUUACAUUAUAAAAACAUAAUACUUACUCAAUAUCAUUAUUUUAAAGAGAAAUAAGAUAGUUGUCUGCUUCACAAUAGUAAUAUUUAGUAAAUGUCACAUUUAAAAACGCAACAAAAUGAAAUUUCAAUUAUUUAAUUUAAUUAGUUAACCAGUUCAUAAAGGUCAGUGAAACCAGUUAAUCGAUUCCAAAAAUAAUAAAAAAAAUCUCAAAAUUGCUAAAAUUAGGGGGUCUUAACAAUAUUUUUUUAUAUCUAAAGAUCAAAUAGUUCGCGUAGCAACGCAACUACUACUAUACAAGAAAUGACAUUCAAAAUCUCCAAUAAAAAAUUUGAGUGCUUAAUAAAAAAUUUAUGGUCCAUUUGAGAGGUAUUCUAGUCUAACGCGAUUAGGCCUUCUCUCUAAGCCUAAACCUAUCCUUUUGUUCCAUAAAAUCAUAUAUUAAGUCAUCCAAGUAAUUUAUUUGAAUCAGAUUUCAUUUAAUUAUGACAAACCUAUACAUGACUGCUCAGAAUCAUUUGUUAUCGUAAGAUUGACUAUAUCAUUGACAUUAAAAAACAAAAGACAACUACUAUGUAAAUAAUAACCUUUUGAGAUUUUAAUUGAAGUUUAUUUUUUAGUUUACAAGUUGAACGAAAUGUAUAUUUUCACUUAAAAUAUAUUUGAAAGAAAAAAUUUAUUAAAUUAUAGUUUUUGCAUGAAACAGUCGACCGGUUCAUACAAUUAAAUUCAACCGGUCGACCAGUUGAGCCAGGCAAUUGAAGUUUCACCUAACCAUUCUUAGAAAUAACAAUAUUUAGUAAAUGUUGUAUUUCUGAAAUACGAUAAAGUAAAAGUAUAUUAUUUCACCGAAUCUUUCUCAAAUGAUAUUACACUGUUAAUAUUUUUAAAAAAUAAACUAUAAUUUUAAAAAAUAACUCUGAUAGUUUUUUUAAAAAUAACCAUUAAAAACAUAUAUAUAUAUAUAUAUAUAUAUAUAUAUAUAUAUAUAUAUAUAUAUUCACUUCAAAAAAAGUAUUUCUUGCGAUCUAAUUCAUCUUUUAGAGAUUCAAGAAUUUUUAUUUUUUUUGGGCCAGUUCAACCAUUUUGCAACAGUCCCAAGUUUCUUGAAAUUUCGUAAGUUUUGACAUCGAAGAAAAUAGUCCCUAUUCAUCUUCAUUUAUGCAAAAAAACAAAAGACAUAAAGAACUUCCUUUUGGCUCCAAAAAGGGGAUAAGUCCAAUAAUUAUUUCUUAAUUCAUUAAUGUCCUUGAAAAACCAGUAUAAGUUCUAAAUCUAAUUUUUUUUUUAAUUGAAAUUUUAUUUUUACCAAAUUGUAAUUUAGAUUCUAGUGAGAUUCUGAUUGAUGCAAAUAUCCUUGACAAAUUAACCUUGUCAUGAUCCUUUUCACUUUGCGACAUGAGGGCCUGCGACAAAAUAAAUGGUGCAAGGAAAAACUAAUCCAAAAAUAAUAUGGUUUGAUUCCAUUAAAUCAGCAACAAAAUUUACAAAUCAAUUUACAUCAACUUGCAACAAUCAGGGUAAUCCUUUCACGAUAAUUUCCUCAAUUUCAUCUUGCUUCUUAGCUUGAGUAAGGACCCCAACAGCUCAAAUACAUGACUUUUCUUAGAGAUUCCUCAGACUGUUUUGCUCUCACUUCCUUGACUUUAUUGGAGAUCAUGGCAGAAGAUGAAGAAGAAAGCUUCUUGGCCUGAGAGGCUGAUCUGACAUGGUUCUUGGCAUGUUGGUGCAGGGAUCUCAGGGUGUAGUUCCACCUGCAGAACCCUUGGUCUUUCAAGGCCUCAACACCUCCAACAGCUGCUGCAACCAACCAAGCUUUGCUUGCUGAACUCAUUUUCUGUGUUACUGUAAUAUAGAACCAACGAGUUGGAAACUCUUUGAAGUGGGAUUUGUAGAGAUUAAGAUAUCAGGAGCUAUGAUUUGAUGAAGUAAAUGGGAGUAAAGGGGUUUGGUUAUAUAGGUGAGUGUACCAAAAUUGUAGGAGAAAAACCAGAGGCUAAAGGCUUCUUCGUGGUGGUUUUGAGCGAGGAAACCAGCAAAGGCCAACGCUAUUUUUGAUGACAUGAUGCAUCUUUUGUCUAAGUAGACGACNNNNNNNNNNNNNNNNNNNNNNNNNNNNNNNNNNNNNNNNNNNNNNNNNNNNNNNNNNNNNNNNNNNNNNNNNNNNNNNNNNNNNNNNNNNNNNNNNNNNNNNNNNNNNNNNNNNNNNNNNNNNNNNNNNNNNNNNNNNNNNNNNNNNNNNNNNNNNNNNNNNNNNNNNNNNNNNNNNNNNNNNNNNNNNNNNNNNNNNNNNNNNNNNNNNNNNNNNNNNNNNNNNNNNNNNNNNNNNNNNNNNNNNNNNNNNNNNNNNNNNNNNNNNNNNNNNNNNNNNNNNNNNNNNNNNNNNNNNNNNNNNNNNNNNNNNNNNNNNNNNNNNNNNNNNNNNNNNNNNNNNNNNNNNNNNNNNNNNNNNNNNNNNNNNNNNNNNNNNNNNNNNNNNNNNNNNNNNNNNNNNNNNNNNNNNNNNNNNNNNNNNNNNNNNNNNNNNNNNNNNNNNNNNNNNNNNNNNNNNNNNNNNNNNNNNNNNNNNNNNNNNNNNNNNNNNNNNNNNNNNNNNNNNNNNNNNNNNNNNNNNNNNNNNNNNNNNNNNNNNNNNNNNNNNNNNNNNNNNNNNNNNNNNNNNNNNNNNNNNNNNNNNNNNNNNNNNNNNNNNNNNNNNNNNNNNNNNNNNNNNNNNNNNNNNNNNNNNNNNNNNNNNNNNNNNNNNNNNNNNNNNNNNNNNNNNNNNNNNNNNNNNNNNNNNNNNNNNNNNNNNNNNNNNNNNNNNNNNNNUUAGCUUUGCUAAUCUAAUCUAUCAUGCAGGGGUUAAUGGCUAUGAUCAUGCAUGAAGUUAAAAGUCAGUUGUUUUCUUCCUUCAAGAAGGUCAUAUGCAGGUAGCUUUCCACUAAUGUUAACUAUUAGCGCUUGAAUAGAAAUUUAGGGAAAAAUUGUAUUGGUCACGACCAUUUGUAUUUCUGAAAAUAAACGCUCAUAUUUUUAAUUUUUUCUUUUCAUUUGGGUUUUUAACAGAGAGAGAUUCUAGUGAGCUUGUAAGAGUGAUUUAAGAAUGAACAUUAAUUUUGAAUCAGCAUCGUUCCUAGUUUCUUGAAACUGCAGCUUUGACAUGGAAAAGGACAUAAUUCUGUAUUUUUAAAUAUCAAAAGAUUUCAAUCCAAUGUUACUUAAUAAUAAAUUUAUGUGAUAGUAUAAGGUCCUCUUCCAUUUUUCACACAAUGAUCACUCCUGUUGUGAUCAGUGACUGAGAAUUUUACACCAAAAUGGAUUUUCUUUUGGGUCAAAUCCAAUUUGAGAUUUUCGUUUUUCAUGUAGCCUUUUAAUCCAUUUGAGGAUGUGGGGAGAAAGAUAUUUUAGAUUCCAGUUGAAUGUCAUAUCUCAAAUUGAAAUUAAAUGAAAUUGCCUGUUUAUUCCACUAGAAAACUAGAAAAGAGCUUUGUUAAAUUUACUCACUGAGGAGAUGCACUGCGCGCUACCAAAAGAAUUGAUAAAAACAUAUGAUAAUGUUCGAUUUCAGCAAAUGAGCAUCAAAAUUUACAAUUUGCAUAAGCUUGCAAGGUUUUACUCCUAUAAACUAAGUCCCUCGAUUUCGUCUACUAGAUUCAUAGCUUCAGUUUGGACCCCAACAACUCAAGUACAUGACUUUUCUUAAAGACUCCUCCGACUGUUUUGCCUUCUCUUCCUUGACUAUAUUUGAGAUCAUGGCUGAGGAUGAAGAAGAAAGCUUCUUGGCCUGAGAGGCUGAUCUGACAUGGUUCUUGGCAUGGUGGUGUAGGGAUCUCAAUGUGUAGUUCCACCUACAGAACCCUUGAUCUUUCAACGCCUCAACACCUCCGAUAGCAGCGGCAACCAACCAAGCUUUACUCGCUGAACUCAUUUUUUAUGGUACUGUAAUAUAGAACCAACAAGUUUGUAGUGGGAUUUGUAGACAGUAAGAUAACACGAGCUAUGCUUUGAUGAAUCCCAUGGAAGGAUGGGGUUUGGUUAUAUAGGUGAGAAUGCCAAUAGUUUAGGAAAAAACCUGAGGCUAAAGGCUUCCUGCUGGUGGUUUUGGGUGCGGAAACCAGCAAAAGCCAAUGGUAAUUUUUUACGGUGAGAUGACUGUAUUGACAUUCAACUACCACAUGCCGACAAUAAGAAAAUGGGGACAAAAUCGGGUUCGUGGGAUGGCUAGAUUUGUUUUACUUUUGCUCUACAACAACCCAAUAGCUUCUCUGCCUGCCUUGAAGAAAUGAGCACACGGUUUUUCUUCGUAAAAUAAAUAAAUCCAAGCCAAAGUAUCAGGAGGAGCAUAGCUGAAGGGUGAGUCAUGCAUUCCACAAUUUGGUGGCACUUUCUCAUUGAAGUGCAUUUGCCACUUGUAAGGAAUGUAAGAAAGUGUGGGACUGAGGAUAAACAAAUGUCAAAUUGCAUGCUUCUCCUUUUCUUCUUUAUAUAAAAUAAAUUUGAUAGCCUCUCUCUCUCUCUCUCUCUCUCUCUCUCUCUUUUGGAAUUCAUCUUUUUCAUACUUUAUUUUACGGUAAACAUGUAUUCACAUAAAGCUUGAAUCAAUCCCUUCUCAGAAACUUACAGUAUUGAGCAAAUUACUUACAUCCAGACAUGAAGAUAUAUAAAAAUCCUACUCGCCAUCAACUUUCACAGGAAGGUUUAUAAAAGAUUUGGGAAAAGAAAAUACGUAAGCACCAAUUAGCACAUUAUUUUAUAUUUGAUGUUGUGGUACAGUCAUAUUUUUAAAUUUUUUUGUGUUAAUUUAAAAAUUAAAAAUUUUAAAAAAUAUUAUUAAAACAAUCUCUAAAAAGAAAAAUUCCAAAUUGGAAUCCUCUAUCUAUAAAAAUUAUCCAAUUAUGAUAAACAAAAUUUAUUAUUUUAAGUCAAAUUGAUCCUCAACUUUAUGAAUCAUGAUUUGUUUACCAACAUAGAUGUGCACAAUUUUCUUUUUAUAUUUGAUAUGAAAUAGUUUUUUCAGGUUAUUUUGUGUAUCAAUCUUACUUGUAUGAUUUUAGAAGCCAUAUCCUAUAAACACAUGAUACAUUAAAAAAAAUUAAACUCAGAAUGCUAACUUUUGAAUAAAAAUAAAUAAAUCAUGCACAAAUUUUAAAACGAGGGUUAAUUAGGUGAGUACAAUUUCAAGCUAACAGUGACGAAGUUGUAGAAACCACUUGCAAAAGAAUUAGCUUCCUUUUAGGUUGAGUUGGACUAAAACCUGCUUGAGAAAGUAUUGGGAUGGAUGAUAACCUUCAAAACAAGUAUUUUGAUGCAAAUGAUAGAUCCUUCAAUGCUUAAAUCAAUUUAAGUAGGAGAGAAAGAGCCUUGAAUAACCAUGUAUAUGUGUGGGUGUUAGAAUAGUAGCAAGGUUAAGGAGGAUAUGAUGGCGAAGAAGAUGAAGAAAUUAUCCCUUACUUCAAGAUUUAAGUCUGUAAAUGUCCUUUGCUCUAAAAAAUUCUGCCCACCAUUCAACGGAAGCCUCUAAAAUCCUAUCGAAGCCCUAUUAUCCAAGCGUAGAAAUGGUUAAUCGUUUACUUGAAGUGAGAAGUGGUCACACUGAUAGUCAGGUUGGAAUUUGGAAGACUACAGAUCUCCAGAAAAAUUGUUGAAAUUCCAGUUUGAAUUCUAAAUUGAAAAUGCACAUGUAUCUAAUCUUGUUGCUUGACGUUAAGCAUCAAACCAUGAUCUAUCAAGGAAAGGCUUAAUCCAUGCUCAAAAUUAAGCAGGAUGUUUGAAUGUCAUUUAGCCCAUGUCACAGAAACCAUGAAAAUUUGGUGGCAACAUCUCACAACGAAAUGAUCAAAGAACAAGGAAGAUUUUUUAGAUUGCAUGGGUCGACAUCAAUUAAAAAGCGAUAGGAAAAGAUAGGAAGAUGGUGACAACAUUUUUGUUCCACAAAAUUUUCGUGUUGCAUAUAGCAAUGAGGGCAGUCAGACUAGCUACAGUUCACAUCAGGCUUGCAUCAAUCACUAAUCAAGCCCCGCAAAUUUUCUCUCACAAACCAUAAUCAUGGCUUUGACUAUGUUCUUCUCAAUGGACCAGCUUCAGCCUGCACAAGGCAUCAGAUUCUCAUGGCAAACUUCUCAACUCAUUUAAUUUGGACCCCAACAACUCAAGUACAUGACUUUCCUCAGAGACUCCUCGGAUUGGCUUGAUUCCCUCAAUUUACUCGAAACCAUAACAAAAGAUGAAGAAGAAAGCUUCCUGGCCUGAGAGAUUGACCUCAUAUUAUUCUUGGCAUGUUUGUGUAAUGAUCUCAUGGUGUAGGUCCAUCUGCAAAAACCCUGGCCCUUCAAUGCCUCUACAGCUCCAAAUGAGCAUCAAAAUUUACAAUUUGCAUAAGCUUGUAAGGUUUUACUCCUAUAAACUAAGUCCCUCGAUUUCGUCUACUAGAUUCAUAGCUUCAGUUUGGACCCCAACAACUCAAGUACAUGACUUUUCUUAAAGACUCCUCCGACUGUUUUGCCUUCUCUUCCUUGACUAUAUGUGAGAUCAUGGCUGAGGAUGAAGAAGAAAGCUUCUUGGCCUGAGAGGCUGAUCUGACAUGGUUCUUGGCAUGGUGGUGUAGGGAUCUCAAUGUGUAGUUCCACCUACAGAACCCUUGAUCUUUCAACGCCUCAACACCUCCGAUAGCAGCGGCAACCAACCAAGCUUUACUCGCUGAACUCAUUUUUUAUGGUACUGUAAUAUAGAACCAACAAGUUUGUAGUGGGAUUUGUAGACAGUAAGAUAACACGAGCUAUGCUUUGAUGAGUCCCAUGGAAGGAUGGGGUUUGGUUAUAUAGGUGAGAAUGCCAAAAGUUUAGGAAAAAACCUGAGGCUAAAGGCUUCCUGCUGGUGGUUUUGGGUGCGGAAACCAGCAAAAGCCAAUGGUAAUUUUUUAUGGUGAGAUGACUGUAUUGACAUCCAACUACCACAUGGCGACAAUAAGAAAGUGGGGACAAAAUCGGGUUCUUGGGAUGGCUAGAUUUUUUUACUUUUGCUCGACAACAAGCCAAAAGCUUCUCUGCCUGCCUUGAAAUGAGCACACGGUUUUGCUUCGUAAAAUAAAUAAAUCCAAGCCAAAGUAUCAGGAGGAGCAUAGCUGAAGGGUGAGUCAUGCAUGCCACAAUUUGGUGGCUCUUUCUCAUUGAAGUGCAUUUGCCACUUGUAAGGAAUGAAUGUAAGAAAGUGGGACAAACUAUACAUGAGGUGAAAAAAAAUUUGGGAUUAAAAUAUUUGUUUUUUUUUAAAUUCAGUUUGAAAUCUUGUGAUUGUUUAUAUGAUGGUCACUGAAAACUUAUAUAGUCGUUAAUUUUAGGACCCGUUGGAUUAAUUGAGGUAUGUGCAAGUUGGUUCGGAAAAAAAAAAAAAAAGUGGGGGACUGAGGAUAAACAAGUGUCAAAUUGCAUGCUUCUCCUUAUCUAUAUAUUAAAUAAAGUUGAUAGCAUCUCUCUGUCGAUUUCUUGGAAUUCAUCUUUUUUCAUAUUUUAUUUUACGGUAAACAUGUAUUCACAUAAAGCUUGAAUCAAUCCCUUCUCAAGAACUUACAAAAUUGAGCAAAUUACUUACAUCCAGACAUGAAGAUUUAUAAAAAUCCUACUCGCCAUCAACUUACACAGGAAGGUUUAUAAAAGAUUUGGGAAAAGAAAAUACGUAAGCAUCAAUUAGCACAUUAUUUUAUAUUUGAUAUUUCAGCUUAGAUUGUUUAAACAAUAUAUUUAGAUUAUGUUGUGGUAGUGGUUUUUAUUAAAUAUUUUUCAAAAUAUAUUAAAAUAAUAUUUAUUUUAUUUUUAAAAAUUCAUUUUUAAAAUCAUAAAAUACAAAAAAAAAAAAAAAACGCCGGUACACGUGUUUUUUUUAAGGGAAGUACCAUCCAAGCAUAUCUAAGGCCCAUCUACACAUCCAAGUGCAUCCCUGGCCUUUCUAGUUUUCUAUUUGGGGAUCCAAUUGAGAAUUAAAUGAAAGUUGGUGGUUUGUAUAUCCAUUGCUCUAAAAAAUUCUGCCCACCAUUCAAAGUAGGCCUCUAAAAUCCUAUCGAAGCCCUAUUAUCCAUGCACAGAAAUGGUUAAUCGCUUUACUUGAAGUGAGAAGUGCUCAAACUGGUAGUCAGGUUGGAAUUUGGAAGCCAGAUCUGCAGAAAAAUUGUUGAAAUUCCAGUUUGAAUUCUAAAUUGAAAAUGCACAUGUAUCCAAUCUUGUUGCUUGACGUUAAGCAUCAAACCAUGAUCUAUCAAGGAAAGGCUUAAUCCAUGCUCAAAAUUAAGCAGGAUGUUUAAAUGUCAUUUAGCCCAUGUCACAGAAACCAUGAAAAUUUGGUGACAUUUAAGCAAUGGUGUAAUUACAAGCUGAUCAUGAGAUGGCAGUCUGCCUAGCUACAGUUCACACCAGGCUUGCAUGAAUCACUCAUCAAGUCCCACAAAUUUUCUCUCACAAACCAUAAUCAUGGCUUUGGCUUUGUUCUUCUCAAUGGACCAGCUUCAGCCUACAUAAGGCAUCAGAUUCUCAUGGCAAACUUCUCAACUCAUUUAAUUUGAACCCCAACAACUCAAGUACAUGACUUUCCUCAGAGACUCCUCGGAUUGGCUUGAUUCCCUCAAUUCACCCGAAACCAUAGCAAAAGAUGAAGACGAAAGCUUCCUGGCCUGAGAGAUUGACCUCAUAUUAUUCUUGGCAUGUUUGUGUAAUGAUCUCAUGGUGUAGGUCCAUCUGCAAAAACCCUGGUCCUUCAAUGCCUCUACAGCUCCAAUGCUAGCUCCCACAAUCCAAGCCUUUCUUGCUGUACUCAUUUUUUUUCUUUAACCCUUAAAGUUUCCCUUUUCUUUUGCAAGUAGAUGACUACAGAUUAAAGAUGAUCUUAAUGAAGCUAAUGGAUUCUAAGGGGCCUUUAUUUAUAGAGGGGAUGGUGAUAGCUGAAAGUCAGUAGUAGAAAGCCAGAAACCAUUAGCUAUAGGCUAAUGUCACUGGUUUUGGCCCCUGGUAAGGCAAAUAGCAUUAUUUUUUCUAAAAUUACUUUCUUGACCAUGCAUAACCACUUGUCAUACUAUUAUAUUAAUAAUAGAAUUACAAUCAACUCGAGGAUUUUCCCUUAAUUGUUAAAAAUUAGGUUUAUUUUCUAGAAAUUAUCAAAUUUAAAUUCUAUAAAUUUUAAAAUUAUUAGAAAUUUAUAUAGUUAUUAAUUUUAGGGCCAGUAAAAUUAAUCAAGGUAUGUGUAAAUUGAUUCGAACAUUCAUGUUAAUAAAAAAAAUAAAAGGACAAUCUUCCUAGAGGUUACCAGUUUGAGUUUCGCAAAUCUCAGGAUCAUUGAAGAUUUAUAUAGUCGUUAAUUUCAUGGCUUAUAAGAUUAGUUGAACUAUAUACAAACUGAUCCGAAUAUCUAUAUUAAAAAAUAAUAAUAAUAGAAGGAUAAGUAUGGGUUUUGGUCACAACUUGACGUGAAAAUGUGACAAGAUAAUGCAGCCACUAGACUAAAGUGAGUAAUAAUGGACACGCAGUUUUCUUGUGAAACUGCCUGGUACUCUGUCAGAUGAGGCCACCGGCAACAAAUGAUGGCACCCACUCUGGUCAUUUGUGGGUUUUGACUUCAGAGGACAAGCCGACAAGUCGUGGAGACAAACAAACUUCAAGGGUAAAAUUGCUAAAUUGUUUCUUUAGAGACUCAACUGUGAAUACAAAUGUGGGUUGGGAAUUCGUGGUAACUUAUAUGAGAUGAUUCAUAAUGUUCUAGACAAUUGUAUUAAACUCACUCUGUCUUAUCAAGUAAAUUCGGUAAUCUAUCCAUCCAGAGCUUGGUAUGAACUAUAUGAGAGUUGAAUCGGUAAAAUCGGGUUUAAUCAUUCGGGUUUAUUCUUAACUUGAUCAAAAUAAAUUUUUGAUGAGAUCUGAUUUGAUUUUUUUUGUUUAAAACAAUAUUGAUUUAAUUUUUUUCUUAAAAAAACUUGAAAAUAAGCCGUUUUAUAAUUUCCGGAUGAUAUCCAUGCAUAGGUUUUCUGUGGUCUGUCUAAGAAAGCGCGGUAAUGAGCUCAUUAAUUGCGCCAUUUUCGCGAUCUGGAGAUUUAUUAAUCGUAAUUUUGCUUGGUUUACAAAAAUUGCUUCUAUUGAAAAAAACCCUCUUGAAAAAGCACCAUGUUUUGGCUAGCUUAAGAAUCAAAUCGCCUGAUUCUUCUAUCAGGCCAAACAUUAAGGUCAUCAAGCACAGGAGUUAAACCUGACGUUUAGAGCCAACAAACACGAGUCUAAGCUACUUAAGCAGGAAUUGUCUUGGAGCCGUUCAAGGGCUCAAAGACCAGAACUCUAAAGGGAUGAUGAAGCAUCAUCAGGCAAGAGCAGCAAGACCAGAAUCCGAAAAUUCCACUCAGUUUAGAUGGGUUUCUGGUGCCAUUAAGCCCAUGAAGAUGGGUGGUGUUAGAGAGAUGCUCAGGGUAAGGGAAGCCGGAAAGGCUGAGAAUGCCAUGCAUCUCUCAUUUGUUGGGGACCUCGUUAAGAUAAUCAGUAUGUUGUGUACUCGUUCUGUAAAUUUCUCAACAUAGAUGAAUUAAUAUGUUGGUGUUUUGUAACAAUACAUAUAGCUUAUAGAAAUUACUAGCAUCAAGUGUAUUAGUCUAUUCGGGUUCAAUCGGUUCUAAGGGAUUUUAGUGGACAUCCUAUCAAGAAUUUAAAUCCUAUAGACACUGCAAGUCCAAUUUGAAAAGCAUGUGUUUUGGACUUGUUGGCCAAUCAUGACUUUAAAAGUAUAAAUCUAUGAUCCAUUUUCUAGACAAGCACUUGACUAAGUAAUAUAUCCAAACUCGAGUGAUUAAGUAUUAAAUGAAUGUAUGUAACUUACGAGAGGAGAGGUGCACCUCAACUUAUCAUAUUUUAAGUUUGUUUUUCAAAAUUUAUCAUUUUAAGUUUUACAAAUAUCAGGACCACUAAAAAUAAAAACUUAUAUGAUCAUUAACUUCAAGACCUAUAAAAUUAGUCGAAGUGUACGUAAAUAAUAUACCAAAAAUUAUUAAAAAAAAUUAAUGGAUCAAAAAUAAAAAAAAAACAUAUCCGACUAGUAUGUGAACUUAUCAAAUUUAUGAACCGGGUAACUCGAACCUAUGAAUCGGGUUAUGAAUUCCAUUGGGAUUAUAAUUUUUUUUCGAAACUAGUUUUUAUUUACUACAUGAUAAAAACAAUAUAAUCACAAAAUAAAACAUCAACCAAAUACUAAGAUGCUGUAAAAAAUUAAGAAACAAAUGAAAAUCAAAAUAUUUAAUAUCGCAACAUGAGUAAUUUACCUUGUUAUGUUUAAUGAAUUUCUCUAUCAAAAUAAACUUGUAAUAGAAAAACAAAUAAAAUUUAUAAUAGAAACCAAAAAAACACAUCAAAUUUAUUGAAUAAAAAAAUGCAAGGCUUCACACAUUAAAAAUCUUGUAAAAAAUCUAUAUUAAAAAAAUCUAUAUAAAAUGAAAAAAAAACAAUUACAGAUGAGUCAUACAUACCUCUUUAAAAACUAAACACACUUAAUAUCAUUAAAAAAUAAUUACAAACUAAUUAAAAUAAUAACUAUCAGGUUGAUGGUAGGUCAGGCUUAGCACCUGGCCCAAUCAAGCAACAGACCGCACGCGAGCCUACAAGGCUAGACCAACCAUGUGGGCCUAUAUUUUUUUAAGUUCAUCAUCUGCCCAUGCAUCAGAAAAAAAUUUGACGUGUCACCUGCAUCAGCAAAUUACACGUAUUAUGUUCAUCCCUAGAAUCUAGUAACUAUGGUAGUCGGAAAAAUUGUGUAAUUUGUUUUUUUAAUCUAAAAACCUAUCUUCAAUCCAUUUUCUACCCAAAAAUACCUAGAAAACACCGUAGAAAACUUGUUACACCAAUACAUGGUCACGAAAAACAUAAAGAACUGCCUUAAAACCCAAAAUCCACAUGAAACAAAAAAUAUUUCGAGCUCAAUCUGAUUUUUAGGUGUUUAUAAGGUAGAAAAAAUACUUAAUAUUAAUUCCCCUCAUCAUAUGGAACCAUUUAACAUAAAAAAACAACUGUUUUGAUGACCGGAUUCCUCACCAACAUACACCUUUUCUCUCCAAGCCAGAAUUUGACGACUUUCUCUCUCUUCUCCAUCUAACAAAAAACUGAAAAAUAAGUUAAAUAAAAUUUGAUAUUAAAAUUAAAUUUUAUAAAAUUUAAAGGACUAGUCACCUAAUAACUAAAAAUGAUAAGGGACUCAAAUAAAUUGUUGACAUAAAUUUUCAAUCAGCCACCUAUAUUACUAUAAAUUUUCAAUCAGCCACUUAUAUUCCUUGAUUGUCUCACUUUAGUCCAUUUCCUUUUGAUUCAACACUCUCUUUACAAAAAAAUAAUAAUAAUAAUAAUAACAUGUAGUUGAAUUUUAAUUUAAUUUCAAAAUAGCUCAAUUAUACAAAAUUUUUAAAAAUUACACUAUUAUAAUUCACAUAUACGAGAGAAACAAUGAUAUUUUUAUAAACAGUGGAUUUAGCUUUAUGUAUAAUGAUAGUAAAUAUCAGUAUGUUGCUUAACAAUGAGCCUUCUAGUAAAUUAUUGAAACACAAGAUUAUUAAUGUGUUCAUACAUGUUGUCUAAUCCUCAGAGGUACAGUGCUUCUUCUGUGUCGAUUUCUUAACCUCUCACACAUGUUCUUAGCAUGUUCCAUAUAUCAAGUGUUUUCUUUAGAUGAAAAGGCUAUUUGUGUGAUCCAUGAUAGUUUGAUGCCUUUCUUUACUAGAGAGAAUAUGUCCUUGAACUUCAAUUUUAUUUAUCUUCAAAUUGUUGAUUUCGAUUGAUGUUUUGAAUGAAUCAUAAGCAAAUCUAUCUCCAAAUCCUGUGGCCUUAAUUCCCAUCAUGAUCAAGGGAAAGCAUAUCUUAUAAUCAAUUUUCAUGGAGUCUCUAUCUUGCUUUUUUAGGUACCACCAUGCAUUAGCAAUUUUAAGAGUUUCAGGCCAUUUUCUGUGCUCAAGGAUCUGAUCAUUACUUGCCAUUUUCUCACUUUAAAGUUCCCAUGACGAUGAACAAGAAAAGAUAGGCAUAUAUGUUAAAUACAGUACAUAUUCAUGAACACUCCACUUACAUUACAGACUCUGUACAUUAACUUCGAUGCAAUACCCCAGCCUGCUCUCACGAUUUGGAUUGCAUAGCAGUUAAUUAGGACCCCAACAACUCAAAUACAUCACAGUCCGCAGCGAUUCCUCUGCCUGUUUACGCUUGUUAUCUUCACUAUUUUUAGCAGGAUUAUUGAUAUCCUUGGAACUGAAAUUACCUGAGAAACUUGUUUUCUGCUUGGAUGAAGCAGAGGUACAAGCAGCAUCAUUAAGGGGCUUGACACUUGAGUCAUUUUUAGAAGCUUUAUCUUUAACACUCUGCAUCCUUUGGAAACCUGGCUGAAAGAAUUCCUUCCCAAUGGAUCUCAAGCUCAUAAUAACUUGUUCUAAGAGAGACUAAACGCUUUCCAUUUUUACUGCUUCUGUGUGUGUAGAAAAUAGUAUUUGUUUCCGGAGUGUUAUAGGAGAGUGGAGUGAAGAGAGAUGUAAAGUCUACACCAUAAGAGUAAGAACAAAGCUGGAGUAAAGAAUCACAAGUAGCUUAUCUAGUUAUUGACUUUAGCGGGGAACUUGCAAUAUAUAGAGGAAACAACGGUAUUUUGUAAUAUUAUUUUUUUUUAGCUCUGUGAUUCCUGCUUUGAAAAAGUAAGUGUAGAAAGCAGCUAGCCAGUGACCAUGAUUAAAAUAUUAAUUCACUGAAAGAUCUUGUGACUCCACUUGGCUAUAAAUCUAUCCCCUUCCAAUUUUGUAGAUUUUAAUCUAUCUCGCAUGUCAUCAUGAUUCUUCUUGAUGUUUAAUGCUACAUGUAAUGAGAUUAAAUUUUGUCUUGUUUAAUCUUGAACUAAUUUAGGUACCAGGAAAUGUGGAGGUCCUGUUGUUUUUUAGUGUUAUUAAAUUUAGUCUUGUUUAAUCUAGUGGAUAUAUUAGAUUUUAAAUUAAAUUAAGUUAUAGUUAAUUUGAUGUGAUUAGGUCAAAACUUAAUUUAACUUUUUAAAAUGAUAUUAUUUUAAUUUAAAAAAAAAUCUGAAAAAAAAGCUAUUAUACAUUGAUUUAAUUAAUACACUUAAUUCAUUGGUUUUAAUAUUUUUUUUAUUAUUUUGUACAAAAAAAAAUGAAGGUGAUAGUCUAGUUUAAACUCUUGAUACAUAUGAUAUUGUUUGUUUUUACAGUUUAUUUAAAAAAGUUAAUUUUUUUAAUAUUUUAAAAUUAUUGUAAUGUGUUGAAAUAAAAAAAAUUUAAAAAAAUAAAAAAAAUUAUUUUAAUAUAUUUAUAAAUAAAUGUUUUUUUAAAAAGUAAUCAAUAUUACAACCACUGACGGUCUGAUAAUACACUGCGUUCAAUGACCAUAUUAUGAAAAUCUAUCACAUCAAUAUGUCAUGUCCGAAACUAUGAUUUUGUCUAUAAAUCAUAGGACAUAGAGUUGCCGGCAAUAAUAAUACCCGCAAAUCUCAUGGCCAUAGGCGAGGCCAGGAUCCUGUGUUACCGUGCAGUGUAAUUUAAUGAAACAGCCACCACAGCCACAUGAAGCUUUACCUUGAGUCUCCACCGUUUCAAUUUACAGUGAAAGAUUCUAAACCCAUCACACAGUUGCAGAAAUUGUCAACUGAUACUUCAAUUUCUCGCAUAUUAUUUAUAUGUUUGUAGCUAUAGCUAGUUUCCAUCCAUGUCUAGAGAGAGACAUGACUUGACAUGAAAUCUCCAUCUUAAGAUUUUCCCUCACUGUUACUCUUCCCUCUUUUUACCACAGAUGUCUCUCAUUUAUGUUCAGACCAUCCAUGACUUUAUUUGACGUAGAUUUUUACUCGGUAAUAUAUUAACUCGGUAAAACAAAAUUACCUUGAAGUUAAUAUGAAAAAUAAGAAUAAAAUGCUAUCAUUUUAAUAAAAACAAUAAACUUUAAUUAAUCUAAUAAUUUAUGGAUUGAUAGAUAAAUCAAUCACAUGCUUUUUUUUUUUAUUUUUAAAUCAACACAUUUAAUUAAGAAUAUUGACAUGAUAGCAUGGUUAAAAUAAUAAUCGGUAAAAUAGCAUAAUUUACACAUGUCAUGAUUGAAAAAUACAACUUUUAUAACUUGUCGCUAUUCAAAAUAAUGAUAUAUUUUAAAAAAUAUUAAAUGAGCCGGAUAAAGGAGAGAUGCAAUAAAAAUAAAGAAAAGAAAAAAAAGAUCUUGAAAAUACACCGAAAAAACUAUGAUCAUAAUACCAUAAAUAUAAUGAGAAAGAUUUUAAUAAUUCAAAUUCAAUAAUACUAAAAAAUAUUCUUCAAUAAUAGCAACUUGAAUGAACCACACUAAUCAUUAAAGUGGGUUAUUUUUGAAUGAUAAAUAUGACUCUUGGGUUGCAAUGGUAAACUUUUUUUAUAUGUUAAAUUGUUUUGGUUAAGAUUUUUUUUUAAUAAUAUUGAUAUUUUGUAAUCAAAGCUCAAGUGGGUAUUGAAUUUUUUUUCCUUUUUCUUUCUUAGUGGCUCCCUCCUAUAGAAUAUUACAAUCCUAAAUAACAUAAGUUAUAAAAAUUACGUUUUUCAAUGAUGAUAUUUAUAAAUGGUACUAUUUUGCUCGUUUGGGGCUACAUUAUUUCAACUUUUUUUUUCCGAAAAAUAUCCUCAAAACAAAAAAUAGGCCUUCUUUUCUGAAUCAAUUACCGAGUAGAGGCUCACAACUAUACAGUGUUUCUGUCUCUUCAACUGCUGUACUGGACAUUUGUUUGUCUCUUCCUUUGUAAUUAGAAAUCUGUACGGUAAGAUUGUUGCUGAAAAUGAAAAGAUAGCGAGCAUGUUACUUCCAUGGUAAUUGGAGCAGAAGGCAUAUAACCACGUGAAUCAAUGGAUAGCCUAGGCACGUUAAAAGUGACUUGGAUAAGAUCGACACGUCAUCAGGAGAAGCCAUGACUGCAAGCUACAAUUUGACUGCUUUCCCCCUUUUUGUUUUGUAAAUUUUAUUUCUUUAUUACUAUUGUUUCUUGUAUUACCCGCGGGUUAUUUUCCAUUUUUUAAAAAAACAUUAUGAAUCAACCACAAUGUUAAUUGAGUGGAGAAAAUAUUUUAAUUUAUUUAAUGCAAAAAACACUUUUAAAAAGUUCAUUACACCAAAAUACUAAACACAUAUUAAAUUACAAUCAUUUAAUUUAAAUUUAAUAUUUUAAAUUUAACGAGCAUAUCAAUCAUAUUAUUUUAAAAUCAUGGGAUCGUCUCGUUCUUUCUUACGAGUUCCUUAAUCAUAACUAGGAUGACUUGAUUCCAAGAAUUGCGAGGACAAGAUUUAAGGAAAAAUAAAUAUUUAAUGACAUGAAAAUACUACUUAAUCGUAACACAAACCACUAAUCAUCUUGACUAAAUCAAUUUCCAAUAUUUUCUUUUUUUUAAUUAAUCGUAAUUCUACCAUCAAAAUUACUUCUUAUCUCAAUUAUAUGGCGAAAUUAUUUUGCCUUUUAUCUAAAUUUCUAAAUACGACUAAAACAAUAUACAUCAAAUCAAAACAACAAGUGAGCUCACUUAAACUGGUAGAUCAGCUGAUAAUAUUCAAAUAUUUUUUUUAAAAAAAAAUAUACUUGAUUUGAAUCCUACCACUUAUAUUUCUUAACUAAAUAUAAAUAUGAGUUUGAUCAUUGUCUUCCAUGUAACUUAAGCAAGGCGCAUUUGCUUCUGUACAAACACCCAUGCAGUUCCUGCCAAGAUGCAUCCACUCAAAGAAAAUGGCAUCAAUGGAAACGAUGCAUGUACCUCUCAGUUUUGGCAUUAUGAGUGAAAAGACUCACGAGAAAAAAGGCUGCUUGUCUAACUCACAGACAGCAAUUCAAUGUUCCAUGACAUCAGCUCAACAAUGUUUAUCUCUCUCUCUCUCUCUAUGUAAGAACAAAAUACUCUCCCCGGCAUAAGGAAGCAUGGUGCCCAAGUACAGAAAAGUAGCCGAACAGAUGAAGCCUCGGAGACAAGAAAGGGCUAGAAGCCCAGAGAUAAUAGAGCGAACCCACUAGAGCUGUUCACGGACAAUACUUCGGCCGAUGUCCGGUCCAAAUUAUAGAAAAUUCUUUAGGACCCAACAACAUAGAAAUUGGAUACGUGGUAGUAGCUACUAGAUAUAUUGCCUGUGUUUCGGCUGAAUAUUAUUUUUAUGUAUAAAAGUAAUAGUAAAAAAAAAAUUCAAGUCUCAAGUAAAGUGACAAUUUAAAUAAUAAAAAAAACAAUAAUAAUAAAUAAACCAAUAAGAAAACAACAACAAAAAUAAAUCAUAUUUGAACUUAUUUGGAUUAUCAAACAACCCAAUACUACCCUAAUUGAAGGAAAGCCAUAAAAAAACAGAGUCAAAGUUCAAAAAACAAAAAAUAUUAGCUUAAUAAAAGGGGGAAAUAACCAAGCAAACCAAAACGAAACUCCUAAACAUAGUCUAAUCUAAAAAACUUGUUUCUUGUUAAAUUAUGAACUCGAGUUCAAUUAAAAAACUUAAAUGUCAUCCAAUUUAACUUUGAAUGUUGAAAUCGUUGAAAAAACUAUUAAUAAAAAAACUUGAAAAAAAAACAACAACAAAAAAAAAGAAUGAGGCUAAAAUUUGGCAAGAAAAAACCCAAUAAAAAUGAAAUUUGAGAAAAAAAUAUUGCAAACCAAAAAAAUUAUAAUUAAAAAAAUUAGGACAAAACUUGAAAGAUUAAAAAAUUAUAAGAAUAAAAUUUAAAAUUAUUUGUAAUAUGAAAAAUAAUUUAUAGAUUAAAAAAUAAUAGAAAAUGAAAUAAAAUAAAUAAAUUAUUAAGGGUUAAUCUAAUAGAAUUAAACUAAAAAAAUAAAAAAUAAAAAUUUUAAAUUAAUCAAUAUCUACUUUUAUUGAAGGAAAAAAAAAACUUUAGCUAAAUUCAGACAAAUCAUUAAAUUGAUUUAUCAAAUCAAAUCAAGUUUAAUGUACUUAUAAAUGAGAUCUUAGUUUUAAGUUUUAUCCCUAUAUAAACCCUUUAAAAUUAUAUAUUUACAUGUUGAUUUAAAUAAAUUAAAUUGAAAAAAAUAUAUAAAAAGAAUAGAAAAUCCAAAUUUCCAUCGACUAUCUUUUCUUAUUUCUACUACCCCAUCAAACCACAACCACGAAUUCUUAACAAAACGUACCAAAAUCCCAAUCACCCAUAACAACUUACGUGUCAAAACCUCACCGGUUCCCUCUAAAAAUCAAAAUAAUCCAAUUUGUUCUUACAAAAAAUAACGGAUAAUCCUCUCUUUCAAUUUCCAACCUCUCACUUUCUCUACUUUCCCCUCGAUCCAAACACACCAAAAAGAAAAAGAAAAUAAAAAUGCAAAUCAAUUUUCUCUCUUCCUUCCCUAUGACUUAAAAAAAGAGAAGAAAUAUCAAAAUUUUCCCGGAAAAUUCACUCUCAUUUUCUCUCCAUCCAACCACAAUGGCUGCCGUUACUCCAGUAUCAUUCUCUGCGAUUUCCCAAUCUUCGAGCGACAGAAGGGCUUUCUGUACAGUAGCGCGUAAUUUAGGUUUUGAAGGCUUCCGGUUUCGAUCCAGUUUUUCGUGUCAUUAUGUCGGCGUUAGAGCUUCGAAUUCGACUUCCCGUAUGGUUAUCCAUUGCAUGUCCACUUCUACUGGUAGAAGAAAAAAUCUUUGUUGAUUUUUUUAGAUAUUCGUCUUUCUUUUUUGUGUCUGGUUGUUGAGAAAGUGAGAGAAAAUAGAAAUAAAAGUCUUAGAAAGUUAGUGUAAUUAAGAGGUUUAGGGUUUUAUUAUUUAAUUUUUUUAUUAUAGAAUGAUUUUUGCGAUUCCUUUUUUUUUGUUGAACUUUGUUGAGGAAUUAGUGUGAUUUAUUUAUUUUAUGAAUAAUUACAGUGAAAAUUUCUAUUUAGAUUUUGAAAAUAACUAAUUUUGCUAUUUGCUUAAUCACAAAAUUAAUGAUGAAGUAAGCUUUAGUAUUUUUUUCUUCAAAAAUUAAUGCUUCAUUUGGAACUAUUAAUAAAGUUUUUUUUUUUUUUUUUUUUAUGGAAAGGAAUAUCAUCGAGACAGUUUGUGCGUCAGUCAUUCAAGACUAAAACUUUUAUUAUAUUUUUUUAAGUAAUAAAGCUGAAGUUUAGCAUCUGAAUUUUGCAAUGCUGGCCGGUAGUACGGUAGAAUUUGAGGUCAUAGAUUUUUUUUUUUCGUAUUCAUUAUUUUGUUUAUCGUUUUAAUCGUGUAAAGUAGUGUGUGGAUUUGUUUGAUGAAUUGGGUUAAUUUUCAGAUGUGCCACCAACGGUAGCUGAUACCAAGUUGAAUUUCUUGAAGGCUUAUAAGAGACCGAUCCCGAGUAUCUAUAACACGGUUCUGCAGGAGUUGAUAGUGCAACAACAUUUAAUGAAGUAUAAGAAGACUUUCCGUUAUGAUCCUGUGUUUGGUCUUGGUUUUGUUACUGUGUAUGAUCAACUCAUGGAAGGGUACCCGAGUGACGAGGAUCGAGAGGCCAUUUUUCAGGCUUACAUUAAGGCAUUGGAGGAGGAUCCGGAGCAAUACAGGUUUGUCUUCUGAGUUUUUCUGUCUUUUUGCAGGAAAUCUUUUUGUUAUUUCAAUUUCGUGAUUUAUAUUUAGUUUUUGUAGAGGAAUUGAUGGAAGUAGCGGUUGUUAAUGCUUUAUGACAGUUUUUCUUUACCAAGUGAAUUGCAUCUGAAUCUGACAUUUGAUAUUGCGUUGCAUGAGGAAUAAGAAAGCAUCAGUUAUCAUUGAAUAUUGGUUUUUGUUCUGUAUACCAAAAAUCAUAACAAAAAAAAAUCUGUUUAUUUAGACUGAGAGACUAUAAUAAUUGCUGGAUGUUUGGAAGAAUAAUGUUUAGGUGGUUGUCAUUGAUGGUUAUGAAGAAAAAAAGAAGAAGAAAAACCCUUCUAUUCUAUGCACAAUUUACAAGUAGUUUUCCCAAGAAAAAUGCGUUAUCAUCAUUUUUACUUUUAUAUAUAGAUCAUUUGAGUUUCUUUGACUAAGUGAAACGAAAAGGAAAUAUUUGCAACCAUAAAGAUUGAUAAAUAGUAGAAACUGAAACAUUCGAAAAGCGUAUGUAGCCAGAUGCUCAGAAAAAUUGGAGAUUCUUAGUUCUGUUAAGAUUUUCAUAUAUUAGUGGUCAACUUUUUCUCCCUUUUUCCUUCAUUACCAUGCAUAACAAAAAAUUGAAAGAAUACAAUUGUUACUCCAUAUUUCUGCAAAAUUUGAACGGCGCAAUUAUUUUCAUUGGCGCUUGAUAGUUUCAUUGAACAGGUUCUAAAAAUGCCCUUUCUAUUUGACUUUAAUCACCAUUUGGGUUGAUUAAUUCUGUAUGUUAUGGCCUGCAGAAUAGAUGCAAAAAAGCUUGAAGAAUGGGCUCGGGCUCAGACUCCUAGUUCAUUAGUUGACUUUUCAUCCAGGGAAGGAGAAAUUGAGGGGACAUUAAAGGACAUUGCAGAAAGAGUUGCGAGUGGGAAUUUCAGCUACAGCCGUUUCUUUGCUGUUGGGUUAUUUCGCCUUCUUGAGCUGUCAAAUGCUAGUGAACCGACAGUAUUAGAAAAGGUAGGUUGUUGAAUUCCUUCUCUAUUGCAAUCUAUGUAAUGUAAAGAGUGCCUUACAAAGUUUUAAAAUCUUUUUUUCUAGUGAUUUUCAUUGUUUUGAAUGUGUUUUAGUUCAUCAAAUCCAGAAAAUUUUCUGUUCCUAAUAACCUGGUCCAUUUUACCCUCAAAUCCAAGACCAAGGAUUUUCCUCUAGAGUAUCUAGUUGUGGCAAGAACUUUGGAGAAGAUGGAUAUAUCUGAGAUUGCUAACUUAAGGUUAUUUUUUCCUUCCACGAGCUCAAGAACUCCAUACGCUUCCUUAGUGCAUAGAUACAACAACCAUGACAUCUCACUUAUGAAAGUGGAAGAAUACCUAUUUCUUCACAGGAGAUCUUCAAUCCUGUUCCAAUUCUCUUGGCAGAUGGACAAUUGUAUCCAAAAUUCAUAUCCUUCCAUCACUUGUCCAUUGGUAGCUUUUUUCUUCUUAUUUUUUUUAAUUGAAGAUUCAGUUCCUUGAACAAGAUAUGAUGUAUGCAGGAUUUCUAAUUCAAAGAGACCUCAAUGAAUUUUAAGUGUUUAAGAUUUCUAAUUUGGCUAACUUCAAGACCUCAAUGAUUACUUUAUGUAUCAAAGAUUUUUGCUCGAUAGUUUGACAUUUCUCUUUAAUUUUCAUGCAAAAGCUUUGUUCAGCACUAAACAUCAAUAAAAGAAGUGUGGAUCGGGACCUUGAUGUAUACCGGGGCCUUCUUUCUAAAUUGGUUCAAGCAAGAGAGUUGCUGAAGGAGUAUGUAGAUAGGUAAAGAUCUAUCUCCCGGAUAGAUUUUGGCGUUCUGCUUUUGUUUUUUUUGUCUGUUCCAUCACGCGUGUGAUGUAUUUUUCUAAAAUGAUUUUGAAUUUCAGGGAAAAGAAGAAACAAGAGGAACGUGCAGAAUCACAGAAGGCUAGUGAGACUGUAACAAAAUGUUUGGGAGAGCCUCAAUUUGUAGGACAGUAGUUCAAUCAGCACAGCAGCUCUCACCUCACAGAUCAAAUUAUAUGAGGCUCCACUAUCGUCACUCCUCUCUCUUUUAAGGUACACUUGAAAGACUUCACUGUUUCAGCAAACCAUAUGACAUCUUAUGGAUUUGCAUUCUUAAGUCUGCUGUUUUGGAUUUGGUGAUCAAGAUACGUUUCCCCUUUGUUUCCCAUGUUUAUAUACUUGUUUCUUCUAUUUCAAACAAUUUUAUUUUUUAUUUUUUGUACCACAAAUGUUUCCUGCUAUUAAAUACUCCGUUGCAAAUAUAUCUGUGUGCAUCACCAUAUUGUCUUUGGAUUGCUGUUCAUCUAUUAAACUUCCCUUUUGCAUUAAAAGGGGGAAAAAUCCACCAUUUCUUGGAGAUUGAUGCCAUCAUCAACUGUUUGAGUAAUGUUACAAGAACAAAUUAUUCAAAAUUUUUAUUUAAACACAUAUAGCUUAUUAUUUUAGAGACUCACCAAAGAUGGUAUGGGAUAUUAAUUUGUUCCACUGGUGAUUAAAACACAAUACAGGAACAAAACGAUAACUAUGCAUUAGUCUGAACUGCAUCUGUUAGCUGCCAGUAGGCACCCUCUUAAAAUGAGAGUUAUCUGGAAAUAAGAUGUACUGAUUGUGAAUCAUUUUCCAAGUUUGAUUUGCUAAAAUGUUUUCAAGGUACUGCAAUGGAAAGUAAACUCUUACUGUUAUUAUUUAUUAAUCGGUGAAAGAUUUUUUGGUUGCAAUUACAAAUUUGCACAUACAAUUGGAACUCAAUUCACGGGUUAAUUUGAAAUCGGAAAAUCAGAUAAACUUUGGUUUGAUUCUUAACAAGCCGGCCGAGAAUUGACCUAAUUAGAUGAGACUGAAUUAAACGUGAUGAGAUACAAGAUGAACAUGGAAUCAUGACCCAAUUUUAACUGUAAUUGCCUAAUUGGGAUGUUGAUUCAAAGUAUCAGCUGCAGCAAAUAGUCUCCGCUCCACUCCAAUGUACAAAAACUUUCUCAUUAAUAACUUUGUCCUUUCUGUCAAUUAUGAUGAUUUAGAGGGUGUUUAGGAUUGAUAGUCCUAGAUUUCAACCUGUAUGGGAGCGGUUUAUCAUGUAUUUUAGAAAAAAAUAAAUUUUUAUAAUUUUAAAUUAUUUUUUAAAUAUAUUUUUAUUGUAUUAAUAUAUUGAUAUGAAAGAUAAAUUUUUUAAAAAUAUUAUUUUAAAAUAUUUUCAAAUAAUAAAAAGCAAUAUGUUCUUUCCUUCCAAACAUUUCUUAUGAGUUGAAACGCAACCUUUAUGGCCACAAUCUUGAUCAAAAUCCAUAAAGGAAAAACAUAAAAAUUUUAAAUUUUAUUCAAACCACACCAUUUAAAAAACAAGAUGGUGGGAUUUGAAUUGGGAUUUGUGGGUAAACCGUAAAAAUUGAAUCGAUGCAUCAGUCCUCUCAUUAAAAUAGUAUUUUAAACAAAAAGGACAUCAAUCAUUACUGGCGGCUAGUAUGAGCAACCAUUUCAGAGACAAAAUAAUGAGAUCAAAUGAAUUAAAGAGUAUCAAAUUUGAAUGCAAUUCCAAUUUGUCUACCAAUUUAAGUUUUAUAUUUUAUUUUAAAGUGAAAACAUUGGAAGUGAUGAUCACUCAAAUCCAUGAGAAUCCUACCAAACCAUGAUAAUACUGCUGGCCAAAAGUCACGAUAGUUAGUUCACACAUGAUCAUAUUUAUUGCAUCAAGCAUGUUGUCCUAUAUAUCUAAAUUUUGUUUUUCUUACUUACAUUCUUUUUUUUUUUCGCUUCCGUCUACCUUACUAUCCAUCAUAAUAUUUUUUUUUAAUCUUAUUGUAUUGUUUUAAAUCUGAUUAUAAGAGAAGAAACAUAUUUUAUUAUUUAAUAAUAUGUAUUUUCUUUAUAUGUUCUUUAACUUAUAAAUAUUUAAAAAAAAAACUAAAAGAGACUAGUGUUUCACGAUAUAGAGUAGACUCAUUGCACUAUAGAUUGAAACAAUACAAUGAUGAUUUUUUCCUUCACAGCAAAAACCAAUGAAUUGGGAUUUGUGGAAAAAAUAGUCUUUUCACGAUAUUCAUUUGUCAUUAUAAAUUGAUCGAAGUUAAAAUGAUCACUUCACAUUUUUAAUGCAUAAUAAAAUGAUUAACUUAUCCUUAAAAACAAAAUUUAUUUAACUUGGAUUUAUGGGCUUUUUUAGAUAUUUAUUUUUUAAAGUAUUGCAAAAUGACUAAAUUAAUAAUCACCUUGACUUAGAGGCAAUUUGAUAUUUUAAUAAAUAUAAAAUAUUAUUUAAAAGACAAAACACAUUGACACGUGCAAUGCAUGCACCAUUAUGUAGGGGAUGUCUAGUGGCAAGACCGUGGCUUCCAAGGCAGUGUUAGAAUAGUCUCAACGGCGCUUCCAUCCCUAGGCAGUGCGUAUGGGCAACGAACCUCCAGUUUGGUGCUAGUGCUCUUUUCAUAGUUUUUUUUUUAUGUUUUUCUUCUUGAUUUCUAUGCCUGACCUUUAAAAUUUUCAAAAUAAUUUAUUUAUUUUCAUAUUUGGUUCAUGUUCUUUUAAUUACUAUUUGUUUUAUUUGAAAUAAUUAAUAAAAUUGAUUUUUUUUUAAUAUCACCCCCUUUUAAUUUUUUUUCAUUUGUCAAAUUUGAUCCUAAUUUUUUUAUUGCAAUUUGAUUUAAUUGAGAUAACUUUUAAAAUUGAUUUUUUUUUAUGAUUUCACCUUCCUUCAGUUUCGUUUUCCUAUUAGAUUUGAUUUUCAUGCUUUUGAUUACUAUUUUUUUAUUUUGUCAAAUUUUUAAAUUGUUUUCUUUUUCAAUUUCAUCCUUCAACAUUAAAUUGGUUGGAAAUCAAGCUUCUUGGUUAAGUCUGCGUCUAAGAUUUCACUGGUUACGAGUUUGGGAGAUUAACCCAGGUUUAGAAGUUUCGCCCAGGUUUGCUUGUUUUAUUUUUCCCUUUUUUUAAGCUCGUGUUUUUUUUAGUUUUAUCAUUCAACAUUUAUUUAAUAGAGAUUGUACUCUAUUAUUUUUUAUAAAUUUUCUUUCUCUAGGAUUUUUAACUAAUUUUAAAAAUAACCCGAGUUAUCUUGAGUCAUUUUAUUUCUUGUUUUUUUGUUAAAUUUAGAUUUUUCACAAGAAAUUUUCAUUUUAAAUUAAAUUAAAUUUAUUAAUUAAAUAUAAGAAUUAAAUGUUCAUUUCAUGAUAUUUUAUUUAAUUUGCUUUCCUAGUUGUUGAUUUGACAGUGAGUACGAUGUCUUUUGGUAUCAUCGUGCAACCUUUCGUGGUGACAUUUGAACCAUUUCAGUGAACUCUUCCUAAUGCUAAGAUAGUGUUCACGAUAAUGAUUCUCCAACUAGAUUUUCUUUGUUCUUCUUCAAAAUAUGAUAUUGAUAAUUUAUUUUUUAUAGUUAAUUAUUAUCUUCUUUUCACUUUAUUUAUUGUCGAUAUUUUUUUUAAUCAUACUAUUAUAUUAACUGAGAUUAUUAACUCAAUCAAGUCAAUGAUCCUAUCUUGAAUUUUUCUUGCUUCUAUAAAAACAUUAAUGAUGCCUAAAUAUAAUUUUUUAUAUUAUAAAAAAUUUUACCCCAUCCAUGAGAUAAUGUGAAUCAACUAUCUAUUAUAUAUACAUAGCAACACCAAAUCAACUUUUUUGCAAGUUUUUUCAAAGGAGUUCACGAGGAAUUCAUUUUUUUCAUUGGGCUUCAUCCCGGGAUUAUAAAUUUGGGAUCAUACCACGAUGAUCAACUUAGAGACAAGGUUAUGGUCACAUCUACGAGAGGCCAAACCCACAUUGAGAGGCUGAAAGAUCUGGUCUCCAUUCAAUGCGUGAAAAAUUAUCCAGGGCAAGUGCAUGUAUCGACAUUUUUGGAAGCAUGUGCCUUUAAUUAUAUGGGUUCCUUUUAUCAAGUCACAAGAAAGUGUGGCAAGUCAUUUAUUUGAUAAUGGCAAGAUUAAUAACUAAGUUUCUGUGGCAGAUUGUAGACACCGUCUUGAAGUUAAAAUACAGGCAAGAAAUCAAACCUCGAUUUAUGCUAUGCACCAGAAAAGAAGAGUGAGUUCCUAGGAGAAAAUGGGAUCAUCAUGGCAGCUAAAGCAAUUGGUAAGAAGGUCAAGGAAUUGGCAGAGAAAUGGUUAUCAAAUUGGAAAGAAUAUCUGAACAAGGCAGGCUAGAAAUCAAACCUCGAUUGCCAUUCUUGAUUAAUCUUAAAAAUUAAAUUUUGAUCAAAAUUCAUAAAGAAAAAACAGAAUAAUUUUAAAUUUUAUGUUAAGAAAAUGAAUUGAUGCAUUAGUCCUCUCAUUAAAAUAAUUUCUUAAACAAAAGGGAAAACAAUUAUUAAGAUCUCAUGUCUAACCAUAUCAAACACCAAAACAAGAGACAAUAUAAUUUGAUCAAAUGAAUUUAAGAGUUUCCAAUUCCAGUACAAAUAUGAUGCAAAAGGAUACUAAGAUUUGUUACAAUUUUUAAAUAAAAAUAAUACCAUAAUUAUAAAUAAGACUCUAGAAAUAUUUAAUUUUAUGCAUUGUAUCCUUGCGAAAAUACUAUUACAUCUCUUUAUAUAUAUAAAAAAAAAAACUAGAAAGCACUAAUAAUAUUGAAUAAAAAAAGAAGUAAAACUAUUCCUUUAAAGUAGAAUAAAACUAGAAAAACAUAAUAAAAAAAUAAUAAAUAAUAAAAUUAACAAAAAAUUUUUUUAUUUUUUUCAAAAAGCAUUUGCAUCUGUCUCCUCGAAUCGAAAAAAACAAAUCCUCAAGUUUAGAUUUUAGUCAGGAACCAUCCCCCACCACAAACAACUUCUUAUGUGUAGACCACCACACCAUAGGUUCCUAACACCUUUGCAUGAGCUUUCCUAUUAUGGAUUUCUGGCACAAUACUUUUUUGUGUAUCGCUUUAUCCUAGAUCGUUAACACACCAUUUUUAUGCGGGCCACCACAUCAAGAAUCUCAUCACCAUGAUUUCCAAUAACAACAACUACUGUUAACAAAAACAACACAUUAGCUCCUAAAUUUAUUUUUCUUGAAGGAGAUCUUCUCAUUCAUUUAUUCAUCAUCACACGACAACCAACCAUUAGAAAUUGUUAGACUUCGAUACCAAAUGAUGUGUAUAAAAACAACAUAAUAAACAACACAAAAUUUUGCCUAAUAUUAAGGUCAUUGUAUAAAAAUUCAAAUUUAAAAUUUUAUUACUAAAUAUUUCUUUUCAAGUGGUCCCUAAAAUACAAGCCAAAUAAAAAUAUUAUACUAGUUCUAGUUUUACCUUAAUGAGGAAAAAAAAAUACUAAUAAAUAACUAUAGAGUUAUUAUAGGAUUCCCUAAAUAGAAAAAAAAAUUUAUUAAGCAUAAUAUUUAAUUCUCUAAACUAAUAGAAAAAAACAAAAAAAAAAUUUCCUAAAAUUUAAACAGUCUCCUCGUGUUGGAAAGAACUCAUCAUCUAGUUCAAUGUAUUCUUUCCUUGAUCUCUUGGAUGUCCAAUUGAAGUUCUCCAACCCUUUUUUUUCUUUACUUUAUGUGUAUAACAAUUUUAAAUAUCAACUCCAGUUUUUUAUAUAAAAAUUGCAUUAUAAAAAAAAUUGGCAAAUUAUUUCUCUUCCAUUGGAUUUUAAAAUAAUGAAAUGUAAACAUCAAACUUACUUCAUCAACAUGUAUUCUAUUCAUAUAACCCUUGAACAAUUAUACAUUUCUGAUAAUCUUAAGCUUGUAGUCAAAAUAAUCAGCAUAAUCCAAAUUAACUUUUUUUUAUUAAGCAUAUUUCAUAUUCUCUCAGUACUCAACAUUUAACUUAUUAAUAAGGUUACUAUUAAUGAUAUCAUUAUUGCUAUUAUUGUCAUUAUUUAUACUAUUAUUAUUAGAAUAAUUAUCAUCAAAAUAAACAUCAUAAAUUGGUGUAAAAUAUCAAUCAACAUCUAUCUCGUCAUAAAUGAGAUCUUCAUCAUGAUAAUGAGGUUGUCUUUUCUACUCUCGUCUUUUAAAUGGAUUUUCAAAGUUGGUCAUGAAUAUGUGAUCAUUGUCCUCAUGAUUUUCCAGGGUUCUCACCUCCACCAAUUGACAAAUCAAUUAUAUAAUAUGUCUCCAAUUGUUUUCUAUUACUAAUUCCUAAACAUCUCUUUUCCAAGUGUAAUCUCCUCAUCCCUCAUCACAUGAUCACGUUAUAUUAUAUGAUCUCUUAGUCAUAGUUAUUCAACAACUAAUCAACAAUAAUUAUUGGAUUUUGAUACCAACUAAUGCAAAUAGAAGCGAAAAAUAAUGAAAUUUGUUACAAGUCAAAACUCUCAAAGAUAAAAAAUACCAUAAUUAUAGAUAAACUCUCAAAAUACUUAAUUUUAUUUAUUCAUAUUGUCUCACUUAUCAAAAUGCUAUUUUAACCUUUUAUAUAGAGAAAACUAAAAACAAACCCUAGUAAUAUUGAAUAUGAAAAAUAAAAUAGAAAAACUAUUCUCUUUUCUUCAAGUAGAAAAAAAAAACUAGAAAAAGGUAAUAAUAAAAAAUAAAAAUAAAAAAACUUCUUAAUAAAAAUAUUUAUUUUCUAAAGCAACUCAUGCAUAAAAUUUCAAUUUGUCUACCUUAUUAAAUUUUUUAUUUUAGUUUUCAAGUAAUUACCACAUUAUGAGGGAUGAUCAUAGCUCGAAUACUUGAUAACCUACCAAACCAUGAAUCGUUGAACUGUUGGCCAGAAAACACGAUAGUUGGUCCACGCAUAGGAAUGAUUAUUUGCAUGAAACAUCUUAGUUUAUUUUAUUCUAAGAUAAUAGAUAUGUGCGUUAUUAUAACCUCUUUAACUUAUAAAUAUAUAUAACAAUAUACCAAAUCAGCUUUGCAACUCAAACUCACCAUGACGAAUUCAAUUAUACAAAUGAAUUUCUCCUCAUCAAUACCUUAUCUCUUUCCCCUCUUCACAACUAUGAGGGCUACUGUUUUGCCUUAACAGUGUUACUAAUGGAGGGAUCAUAUUAAGCAAAUUAGUAUGUUAGAGGGACUCAAUCAACUCUUAAAUUAUCACAGGGACUUGAACAACUAACUGGUUAUAUUACAAGGAUGGCACUGAUUAUUAACCCAAUUUCACUCUUAUAUAUAGUAACUCCCUCAUCGUGUUAUCUUACAAGCGUCAUCUUCACAAAAUAUGGCUCAAUCUCAUUCUGUAAAAGUCAUCGAUCGUGUCCAAGUCUCGCCACCACCAGGCUCAGUACCCACCACCUCUCUCCCUCUCACUUUCUUCGACUUUCCAUGGCAUCUUUGCCCUCCCAUGGAACGCCUUUUCUUCUAUGAACUUCCUUACCCUACUCUUUACUUCAUGCACAAAAUCUUGCCUAGCCUUAAAAACUCUCUUUCCCUUGCUCUUCAACACUUUUUCCCUCUUGCCUCCAAUCUUAUGUGCCCACUAUCACCUCAUAAACCCUAUAUCCUCUUCAAUGAUGGGGACUCAAUCCCAUUCACAAUUGUUGAGUCAACGAUGGAUUUUGACCAAAUAAUCGGAGACCAGGCUGGAGAUGUGACAGGACUGCACGCUUUUGUCCCUAAGUGGCCUCCCACACGCGUGACAUCAGAUGGCAAACGUGUGGUGCCACUUCUUGCCUUGCAAGUAGUUGUGUUUCCAAAUUCAGGUAUUUGCAUUGGUACCAAAUUUUGCCAUGUGGUAGCUGAUGGGAUGGCUUUUAACCAUUUCAUGAAAUCUUGGGCGUCCAUUUUUAGGUCCAGAAAAAACAUGGCUUGCCUUGAAAAGUCAAUGCUGCCGUCUCAUGACAGGUCGGGGAUCAAAGACCCAUUCGAGCUUGAUUCCAUUUUUUCAAAGGAGUGGUGGAGUUGGGCUUCAUCUCGGGAUUAUAAUUUGGCAUCAAACCACGAUGAUCAACUUAGAGACAAGGUUAGGGUCACGUUUACGAUAGGCCAAACCCACAUUGAGAGGCUGAAAGAUCUGGUCUCCAUUCAAUGCUUGAAAAACUAUCAAGGGCAAGUGCAUGUAUCAACGUUUGUGGUAGCAUGUGCCUUUAUAUGGGUUAAUAUGAUCAAGUCACAAGAGAAGGAGGCAAGUGAUUUAUUUGAUAAUGACAAGGUUUACUACUUCGUUUUUGUGGCAGAUUGUAGACACCGUCUUGAAGUUAAACUACCAGCAACAUAUUUUGGAAACUGUCUAGCAAUAUGUUAUGUUCCUGCAAAAAAGAGUGAGUUACUUGGAGAAAAUGGGAUCAUCAUGGCAGCUAGAGCAAUUGGUAAGAAGGUCAAGGAAUUGGAGAGUGGGGUUUUGGUGGGCGCAGAGAAAUGGAUAUCAAACUGGAAAGAAGUGUCUGAACAAGGCAGGCUAGUUACUGUUGCUGGGUCACCUAAGUUGCGUGCUUACGAGACAGAUUUUGGGUGGGGGAGGCCGAAAAAGACUGAGGUUCUCCAUAUAUAUGCUUCAGGUGGUUUCCAUCUUUGUGAAUGUAGAGAUGGGGGAGGUGGGCUUGAGAUUGGCUUGGCACUUCCUCAGGGUCAAAUGGAUGUCUUCUGUGGCAUCUUUGAACAAGGUAAGCGGAAUCUGGUUUGAGUGUGGCUUGUUGUCUACUUAAGAAAUUCGCAAUACACGGUACUUUAUGUUAAGGAAAUAAAGAGCAAAGCCAAGAAACGAAUAAAUUUAUAUUUGUUUACCACUUGUUCUUAAUAUAUAUAUAUAUAUAUAUAUAUAUAUAUAUAUAUAUAUAUAUAUAUAUAUAUAUAUAUAUAUAUAUAUAUUUUUUGUUAAAGUAAAUCAUAAGAUAUUAUUUAACUGUUUAAAUUAUUAAAUUAAAAUAAUUCUUUAACAUAAAAUUAAAGCCUUAAAAUCAAGUGGUCACAAGACCUUGUGUAUUCUAUAUAAUUCAAUACAAAGCUAUGCAUUAUGCAAGGCAGUUUUUCAAAUAUUUAAUUUUCUUUUCAAUGCUCACCAAAUAGGUAAUGAUCUCCUUAAAUCUCUUGCAUUUUAUUUCUUUGGACAUGUGAAGGACCGAAUAGCUUAACGUUGAAUAAUGUUUUCUGGCUUAAUUUUGGUUAAAUUUUUUGCAAGACGAUAUAUACCAUAAACAGAUGAAAAUAAACCAAAACGAUAAGAGGGACUAGACAAAGACCGUACCAUGUAUGAUCUGAAACAUAAAUUUCUUCGUUUGCUCUGUACGUCCAUGGUGCUUGUCUUCAGAAUUCUUAUUUACUUUGGUUGUAUUGGGUAGAAGAGAGUUGCCCAUUUAAUAUUGAGCAAAGGUGGCAAAUAAAUAGUAUCUUGUAUAGACAAAAGAUGCUUUCCUCGGAGAGAAGAGAUGUAUUGUGUCCUUUUUUUUUUUUUUUAAUGUGGUGUCCGAUCCGGGUUAGUGCACCUUAACUAAUUUCACAGGUUUUGAAGUUAACGACCAUCUAAGUUUUCAGUAGUUCUGAGAUUUGUGUGACUCAAAAUGGUAAUCUUCGGAGAACAAACUCAGAACCUGAUCAAUUGAGUUACGCCUUUCAAAAUUAUUAAUGUAUUGUAUCUUUAAAUAUACGCUAGGUGUGGGUUUAGAGAGACAAAAAAAAAAUAGUUCUUAGAGCAAUAAAACCUUGCUUUCUAGGCCAAUUUAUAGAAGCGGAUUUAAUUUUAUAUGAAUAAUGAAGGUCAUGAACUUAUUUAAAUAUUUGGAGUUCAGCUUAAUUUGAAAGAAAUUUUAAAAAAUAAAAAGCUUAUAAUUUCCACAACUCAAUCUUUCUUGAAGUUUUCUUCUUUUCUUUUAUUCAAAGCAGAAAUUACAGAACGUUUUCAGCUGUGUGCACGUACAGCCAGGAAAUUCAAAGCAAUUCAAAUCCAUUCUUGCACGGAGAAAUUUCCUUGAUCAUCUCAUUCAUCAAAACUUUAUAAUUUUUUCCGUGCUCUUUAUAAUUAUUUUUUUGGACGCAUAGAAAAUUCAGAAGAUUGCUAAGCUUGUUAGGAUAAUUUGGACCAAAGAAUGGAAAGAACGAAUUGCUGCUGCGGGCUGUGGAAAGUUUGUGUUUGAUAUUAUAAUUCAGAAAACUUUUUGAAAAUAUUUUUUAUUUAAAAUGUAUUAAAAUAAAUUUUUUAAUGUUUUUACUUGAAGGCAUUAAAAAUAUUAAAAAUAAAAAUCAGAAAAUAAUUAAUAAGCCAUCAAACUACUAUUAGUCAUCAACAGUUGAAUAAAUGAACCUUGUCAUGGGAUGAAAUAAUUAACUAAUGAUAAUGUAUUGAAAUGAAGCUAAAGGACAUCUGUUAAGCAACUAUGAGGGCUCCUGUUUUUCCUUGACGGUUUUAACAAUGGAGGGACUAUAUUAAGCAAAUUAGUAUAGUAUAGGGACUCAAUCAACUAUGAAAUUAGUAGAGCGACUAGAUUGUAAGAGGCUAUGUUAGAAGGAUGUCACUCCAUCGUCAGUAUCUCAUCUCUUUCCUCUUCGCAAACAAUGGCUCAUUCUCAUCCUGUAAAACUCAUUGAUCAUUUCCGAGUCUCUCCACCACUAGGCUCAGCACCCACCACCUCUCUACCUCUCACUUUCUUCGACUUUCCAUGGCUUCUUUGCCGUCCCAUGGAACGCCUUUUCUUCUAUGAAUUCCCUUACCCUACUCUUUACUUGACGAACAACAUCCUUCCUAUUCUUAAAAACUCUCUUUCCCUUACUCUUCAACACUUUUUCCCUCUUGCCUCCAAUCUUAUGUGCCCACCAUCACCCCAUAAACCCUAUAUCCUCUUCAAAGAUGGUGACUCGAUCCCGUUCACUGUUGUUGAGUCAAUGCUGGAUUUUGACCAAGUCAUCGGAGACCAUGCCAGAGUCGAUCUUAGAGAACUGCAAUGUUUUGUCCCCAAGUGGCCUCCCACACGUGUGACAUCAGAUGACACACGUGUAGUGCCACUUCUUGCCUUGCAAGUAGCUGUGUUUCCGAAUUCAGGUAUCUGCAUCGGUGCCAAAUUUUGCCACGUGGUAGCUGAUGGGAUGGCUUUUAGCCAUUUCAUGAAAUCCUGGGCGUCCAUUUUUAGGUCCAGAGAAGACAGCGCUUGCCUUGAAAAGUCAAUACCGCCGUCUCAUGACAGGUCAGGGAUCAAAGACCCAUUCGAGCUUGAGUCAAUUUUUACAAAGGACUGGUGGAAUUGGGCUUCAUCUUGGGAUUACGAUUUGGGAUCAACCCCUGAUGAUCAACUUAGAGACAAGGUUGGCGUCACAUUUACGAUAGGCCAAACCCACAUUGAGAGGCUGAAAGAUCUGGUGUCCAUUCAAUGCAUGGAAAAUUAUCCAGGGCAAGUGCAUGUAUCAACAUUUGUGGUAGCAUGUGCCUUUACAUGGGUUAAUUUGAUCAAGUCACAAGAGAAGGAGGCAAGUGAUUUACUUGAUAAUGACAAGGUUUACUACUUCGUUUUUGUGGCAGAUUGUAGACACCGUCCUGAAGUUAAACUACCAGCAACAUAUUUUGGAAACUGUCUAGCAAUAUGUUAUGUUCCUGCAAAGAAGAUUGAGUUACUUGGAGAAAAUGGGAUCAUCAUGGCAGCUAGAGAAAUUGGUAAGAAGGUCAAGGAAUUGGAGAGUGGGGUUUUUGUGGGGGCUGAGAAAUGGAUAUCAAAGUGGAAAGAAGUGUCUGAACAAGGCAGGCUGGUUACUGUUGCUGGGUCACCUAAGUUGCGUGCUUACGAGACAGAUUUUGGGUGGGGGAGGCCGAAAAAGACUGAGGUUCCCCAUAUUUAUGCUUCAGGCAGUUUCCAUCUUUGUGAAUGUAGAGAUGGGGGAGGAGGAGUUGAGAUUGGCUUGGCGCUUCCUCAGGGUCAAAUGGAUGUCUUCUCUGGCAUCUUUGAACAAGGUAAGCAGAAUCUGAUUUGAGAAUGGCUUGUUGUCUCUCCUUGUGAAAUUCGCAAUGCACGGUGCUUUAUGCUAAGAAACUAAAGAGCGAAAACAAGAAAUGAAUAAAUUUAUUUUUGUUGACCUCGUGUGUGUGUUCGUCUCUUUAUAUGGGUUAUUGGUCACUGGCUUGUUGCAGUUGAGAUUAAUUAGCAUAUCUUUUAAUAUUAUUUUUAAUCAUAAACUUAAAAUGUGGUGUGUGUGUGUGUGUGUGGUGCUAAUAAAAUAUAUUGAUUUUAACCUAUUAAAAAAAAAAUAAAAAAAUUAUCCGAGUUUAAGUUAAAUUACUAAUUUAACUUAAUUUUUAAUAAAUUCAAUAUUAAAAAAUAAAAUAAAAAAAAUUAAUUAAAAAAAAUAACAAAAAAAUAAUUUGAAUAAACCUGAGUUAAUUUGUUAAAUCCUCAAUUUAGAUAAUAAGAUCAUGAUAAUUUAUAAAAUAAUAAAUAAAAAAUUUAUAAAACAUCAUUUUAACAAAUCUAAUGUUGAACAUUGAGUUUGAGAGAGAGAAUUUUUUUUUAUAAAACUAGUAUAUAAACCAGCAAAAAAAAUUGAUAAAAAUUAUAUAGCAUAAUUUUAAAAAAAAUUUAUUGUUGAAUGAUGAAAUUAAAUAAAAAAAAUACAAAAUACUAUUUCAAUUAAUAAUAUAAAUAUAUUUAUGGUGUGGCUACUAUCUUUUAAUAUUUUUAUUAAAUAUAUGAUCAUGUGUGUUGUCAUUGGAAACUUUUAGUUAAUAUUAUUAAACUUAAUCAAGUCCAGUGAAUUAUCAUGGUGACUUGUCAACUUGUUCGAGCUUCUAACCAAACUUUGUGAGAGCUGAUUAAGGGUCAAAAGACAUGGUGAGUGAACUUUAAAAGCGAUUGAGUUAGUAAAAAAUUUAUUUGAAUUUUUUUAAAAAAAUAUUAUUUUAAAAACAAUAUUAAUUUAAUAUUUUUAUUUAAAAAUAUUAAAACAACAAUGAUUUUUAUUAACUUGGUCGAACCAGGCAAAACUGCCGAACCGAACUUGGCUGUGUCAUUACUUGUUUCUAGGCAUGACAAUAUGUUUUCUCUCCUCGGUGGGUUUGAUUGGGCUGCACUUAGGACUAAUUAUUCCAUUUUGUCUAUUUCUUUUCUCUUCCCUUCUUCUCUCCCGGGUAAUGCCUUCAGUAGGCUCAUUUAAGAUGAAAUUCGUAAUUGAAUUCAAGAGUUAAUGGAGAAUCAGGGACCAAAUUAAAAGAGAAGGGCUUGAUUGGGGUGAAAUUCAGGAUUGAAUUGAAGAGUUAGUAGAGAAUUUAGGACCAAAUUGAAAGAAAAUGAAAAACAAAUCUAGCGUGUGUACCACACGCACCAACAUUUGAGGAAGCAUGUCGCAUUGGAUAGGCACGUGCAGCUUCUUUCAAGCACCGAUGAAAGCACUUUUUGAUGUUGUUAGAAUUAUCUGAAAAAAGGUUUCCUUUAAAGGUGGUGUUGAAGACGAUGUACUAUUGGUGUGUCUUUCCAUUACCUAUUUAUUUUUCUUUUCUUUUCUUGCCUUGAUUUAUGUGCUUGAAUUCGAAAAGAAAUGUAUUUGUUUCCUUAAUUUUAAUUUAGGCCUUUUAUUUUCAAUGAUUUGUAAAAUAAAAAAUCCAAAUUAUUUUUCACAAAAUCAAGCGUAAAUUCAACAUCAAGAUGUUCUUCCAACAUUAUGAGACCCAUAAUAAGCUAAUUGAAUCAAACUGUAAAGUUAACAUUAUGAGCUAAGUUGUGGUUUUUUUUUUCUUUUGGUUUUUUAUCAUUUGAAUAUAUUUUUUAAUUUUAUUGGGUUUUUAUUAAAGUUUUUUUUUUAAUUUUUUUUUUCAAUUCUAUCCUUCAACAUUUAGUUGAUUUUUAAUUAGUUUUCAUUUUGUUUCAAUUUAUUUUCUAUAAAAUUAUCAUGGUCUCAAAUAAACAUCCCGACAUUAGAUUUGUGUCUAAGCAUUUAUUUUUAUUAUCAUAUAAUUAAGUAAAAAAAUAAAAAAAAAUAUUAAAUUCAGUGAAAUCCAUGACCCAUGUCGCAACUUUGUUGGGUAAAAUAUGAUCCAUGAGUCGAUCUAAUAUAUCAUUAUCUUGAUAUUUUUUUAAGAAAAAAAUAUUAUAUUGAAUUUUUUUUAAAGCUAAACUAUAUUUUUACUGAUUUAUCAUAUAUUUUUUUGGACUCGCCGAAUUGAAUGAAUCAUGUCAAAAUAAUUUCUAUACAAUUUAACUUAAAGCACGAGUUAGAUAAAAAAAUCAUCUCAAUACAUAUCAAUAUUAACAUGUUAGGUCGAGUCUAAUGAAAUUAUUAGAGAAUUUCCUAUAACUGGAAUAUUUUUAUCCAUUAAAAAAGUUUAGUCCAACGAUCCAGGGGGGCUAGUUUUCUAAGGGCAAGGAAAACAAUUGUUAACAAAGUUAAGGAAUUGAAAGAGUAUGGUUGUUUUUUUUUUUUAGGGGGGGGGGGGGGGGGUGAUGUCAAAUUGGAAGAGAUUGGGAUUAAAAAAAUAAUAAUGAAAAAAUGAACAUAAAAUAAAGAAUAAUUUCAAAUAUAAGGAUAGAUUGAGAGAAAUCAAAUAUGUUAAGACACAUUGAAAGGUUAACAUAAAAUAUAUAAAACAAUUGAGCUAAUUAUCCUGAAUGCAUUUGUUAUAAAGAUUAACAUAAACUAUAUAAACAAAACUAAAUAUUUGUUAAAGCUUGAUUUUACCUUGGUUUUUUUAUUUUAUUUUGUUGAAUAAAGUUUAUGGGUCUCAAAUCUCAAUUAGCUUUAGUUUAUCCUGAUUGGGUUAUCAUCAGAUUAUAUGUAAUUUAAAACUAUUAUGUUAAAGUGGGCUCCCAUAAAUAAAAAUGGCUCCACAGAACCCAUUCAUUAGGCUCAAACUGAAACCAACACGGGCUAACCUGGGUGCUUGAGUGUUGAAAGAUCUGCUGGUAAAUUGGACUUGAUCUAUGUAGUAAUACGAGGCCCAUGUUAUUUUAAUUGUUUCUCUCUUGCCUAAAAUCAUCUGCCUCACUCAGCAAAACUCAUGGAACGCACAAGACCUCUUUUAUCCUUUAAAAAAAGAAAACUUCACCCAUAUUCCAUGCAGAACAGACAUGCCCAGAAGUUCUAUUACAUCACCAUAUCAACAUCCAUUUUGGUGGCCAGAAACACAAAUGGAUCGUCCAUCACCCCCACCAAAAAAAUCAUCUACGUGUGAUUUUGAUAUUCACGAGACAAAUCUCUGCCACAAGCCUAGACCACGUGCCCUAGCUCAUGUUCUUAUAACCCAACAACGGACAGGAUCAAAAACAAGUUUAUCUUCUUAGAUCAUGCCAUAAAUUCUUUAUACAUUAGAGAAUUUAGAGCUGAAAAUUCUGUUGAUGUACACAAUAGUUUCUAUCAACUACGUAGUAUAAAAUAUGUGCAUGAAGUACAUAGAAUAAUAGUGUCUCAUACUUUGCAAACCUCUAUUUUUUAUAUGCAUGCAUGUGAACAGAUAAAAUUU
rnacentral:lncRNA from 1 species